UCGGCAAAAUAAUUUUAAGCCAAGGGGGUCAAAAAAAGGUUGCAAAAAUAAUAAGAUAGAUAAUUAAAGACUUUGAUUGAAAUGUCGUCUCCCAAUAAAGUCUUAACUUGUAUUUUUCUUAAAGAAAGUGACAGCCAUGACCCUAUUGUAUAGCUCAGCUACCCAAACUAGCAGCAUAAUUUGACAGAGCAAGUUGAGGCGAGUUUUACGUGAAGAUGCUCGUAUAACAUAGCACCAAGAAGAUAUGACUGAGAUAGCAGAAACUAAUAAAGAACAAGUUAGUGAUGUAAUUUAAGUUCAUUAAUGUAGUACGCUAUACGAUAUGAUAAGCUGUAUGAUGUAGCAUCUACCUACAUUCUAUGCCUUUAAAUUGAACUAAAUCAAGUCUUAACAUUUUUUUUUUUUUUUUUGUCAACAUUGAACCACAAUUGGCCUGUCCAUUAGCCAAAUCCCUACAAAUAUGUAGGGAGCGGGAUUGGAUCCCUGAUGUGAUGGUGUCCGUCCAACAGUGGACUUAUCAAUUGCCACUAAACUAAGGACACUUCACCAUUCUUUUUAUGUUUUGGGGGGACAAAAUCAAGUAUUAACAUUCUAUGCCAUGAAAAUUAAACUGAUUAUUUUUUUAGUUCUUUUUAAGCAGAGUAUGUAGUUCUGAAUUAAUCCAUUUAAAUAUAGAAAUUUUUGUGAUUAUAUUUAGUUAGAAAAUUCUCGUUAUAGAAGAUAUUGAUAGAUAGAUGAUUCCAUGUUUUUGUCUUUUUUUAACAAAACAAUUUGUUAAAUAAAAUUCAUUUAUAUUGGGUUUUAUUCUCAUGAUUUUAUCAAAAGAAAUAAUUUUUUAUGGUUUUACAAACAUGAAAUAAUAUAACAGUUUUUCGUCUUUAAAUAAAUUAUAUUAGAGUAUUAAAGUCUUGCUUACAACGGUUAGAGUCAUUGCCUUUGGAUAGUGGUUAAUUUAAACCGCACAACAAUUAGUAGAUUUUCACAACUAAAUGAUUCAGACUUGAGAGGGCUCUGAACUGAGAUACAAAAUAGAUCCCUAUUAAGAAAAUAAUAAGAAUAAUAAUAAAAAAAAUAGAUCCUUAUUAUAACCAGCUUCACAGACAAAUAGUCCGUUUAUCAUAUGUGAAGUGGGAUCAGGUACAUCUUGCAACUUUUGGAGUGAGAACUGGACUUGCCUAGGUCCUCUUAUCCAGCUAGCUAGGAAAGUGAUCAUAAUAGGAAAGUCACAUGAUGGAGUUGGGGCUGUUGGACUUUGAAAUAGGCUGUAUAGAUCGUAUUCUUGAAUACAGGGAACCAAGGUGUUAUAUUUGACCACCAAUGAAUGUUAUGCAUUGUUUUGUACGUGUGUAAGAUUGAAUCAACAAAGAAAAGACUAAACGAGUUGUACAAACCAAAGCCAUGAAUCCAAGUCUUACUAAAAUAUGAAUGAGUGAGGGCUGCUGGUGGAUCAAGCCAUCAAGGGAAUCGGACCAUAGUGAAAACUACAUAUAUUGUAGCUCUGUUGCUUGAAAAGAACAAAAAUCUACUUUGAUCAAUAUAAUUUUGAUGCUUUGUAACCUUUUACCAAAAAAAAAAAAAACAAGAAACCGUUGAUGCUUUAUGCAUACGAUGAUACGAAGCAAGCCUUUAAAUAUAUAGUCUAAAAACUUAAACAACCACAACAAAAUAUAAAAUGUAUCAAAGUCACAAAAUUGCUAAAAAUCUCUUUAUAUUGCAUAAAAGUCACGAGAAAGUAACCAGCAUACUUGGGAGAAACGUAUGGCCGCUGAAGCAUGACGUGAGGCCCAAGGAUAAAGAUCGCCCAAAGGAAGAAUAAAACGGAUAUAAUGCAAAUGACUAUCAAAAGCCACUUCACAUGCCCUACUGCAGUGAGCACGCCAAAAAGGAAUGCCAAGGGCAUGCAGAGUAGAGAAAAAAGCAGUAAGGGCAAGGCCACAUGUAAAGAUUUUCGGAUGAGUAGUGGAUCACCCAACUGUGCCCAAAUAAGAGUACCUAUUGUUGCUACGGAACUUUGCAUUGCCAAGAUGUCCAGAAGUAGAAAAAUGCAGAGAGUUGGGUUUUUGGCCAAAGUUGCCCUGCCCAAGUGUGGAGCAGAGCUAUUAAACCCACCUGGUAUUGUAAAACCUGCAGCAAACGUCAUUGUGGCUACAAGAGCCGCAACCAGUAGAAGCGUGUUGACGUAAUCUCUGUUAUUCUUAGGGUCUAGUGGCUCUGCCGGUCUUGUUAAUGAGUCCACAGAUUCAAAACCCCUUGUGUGAAUAGUGUAUAACAAGAGCGCCAGUGUCCACCUCUGUAAUCCAAAAAAUGGGUCAAGUUGUAAAUCAUAUAUUUUGGAUCAAAUGUGUUGUAAGACAUACCUCCUGAAAGAUGUAGUUGGGUUUCAGCUCUGACUCAGCAAUAUCCCUAGCUGUUAAGCCGCUUUUGUUUCGUAAUUUCAGUAUCUUGGUACCCUUAGCAAGCAAAGUGAUGGAUCUAUAGUGCCACUUCAUGACGGCAAGGUGCAAAGGUGUAUUACCGUCCACAUCUUGUCCAAUACCCAGAUGUUCCGUAUCUUCAUUAUCCAUCAACAAUUUUGCAACCCGAUGUUUUCCGUUUUUUGCUGCAACGUGGAGAACGUUCUGACCAAGUUUGUUAAGUAGGUGUUUUGCAUCUGGACACUGCUUUAUAAACUCUUCAACAAUUUCUUGAUGACCUUCCUUUGCAGCCCUAUGAAUUGGAAAAGAACCAUCUUGGUCGCAGACAUAAACACUCUUCUUUGACCGAUGUAAGAGGUUGCAUACUCCUUCAUAAUACCCUACAUAUGCUCCGAGUGCAAGACAAGUCAUACCAGAGUCAUCUCGCUCGUCCACAAGACUUGGAUAUUCAUCAAGAAUAAAAUCAAGGCCAUCUGUUCAAAGAUUUGGGAACAACAAUUAGUAUACAUAGGUAGACUUUACAAUUUUUACAAACUGGUUUUACAUAAUUGGAACAGACUAAAAGCAGCUGCUACUGGUUAAAGCGAAAAACAAACCUUUAUUCUUGGCCAUCAAAGCAGCAUGUGCAAGAUAUUUUUUCCCUUGUAACUUCGAAUAUAAGUUAAACUUCUUCCCUUCAAGGUUCUCGUUGCCAGUAGUUUUCAAAAUUGCUUUCACAAGGGAUACAUCUCCACGAGCUACUGCCAUAAACAAGGAAGAUAAUCCCUCAUUAUUUCCAAGGAAAGGAGCAUCAUGGUUCGCGUUCACCAGAUACGUAGCCAUCUCCAAAUACCUUCCUUCAAUCGCCAAGUGCAGAGCAGUAUUUCCAUCUUCGUCCUUGAGAAUAUAUGGAUUCAGUCUCUCACUCUCUUCAUUACAUAGUCUAUCGGAAGCAAAUGUUACCAACGCAACAAAAGCCUCAACAACAGCGGUAUGACCUUCAUAAGCCGCCACAUGAAGUGGUGUUUGACCGCUCGAGUUUGGCUCCAAUAGAAGGCUAGGACAUUGAGAGACAAUAUCCUUCACUAGUUCUAGAUGACCCCAUGUAACAGCAAGAUGAAGAAUUGAAUCUCCUUUACUGCUCCUGAGACGUGCCAAUGACAUUGGCGUUUCAUCUCUUAUCAACUUCUUUAGACAUUCUUUGUUCCCAUCACUUAUUCCACUGAAAAUCUCCGGAGUCAUCUUAAUAUAUUCACCAGGGAGAGCGAAAAGAUCCGACAAUCGAAGGUUAGUAAGGAACUCUGGCACAAGUUCCGUGUCUGCCGUGUCUUCUCCAAUUUGAGAGAAAUCUUGUGAACCAAGUAUGUUCAUGGGAAGGUAUGUUCCUUUUCGUUGAUCAUAAGACGCAUCGGAUGAUAUUUGUGCCUCCAAUCUACCUAGAUCUGCUUCAGAACUGUCCAUCGCAAACCUGAAAUCAUCACACAGAUUUAAGUUACUAAGUUCGCCGACUACAAAAAAAAAAAGUCAACCAUUGCCUGAAGAGGGAGCGGAGAAAGACUUACCAAGUGGAAGAAGAAGAUCCGUAAUGCAAGAGGACUUGCUAAAGGUUGACGAGAUUGAGACAGUAAGUGUUUGUCCAAUUAAUAUUAAAAUGUCGUUAAUGUCUCCAUGUUCAUAAUGGUGGUCUCCCAUUAAUUAAGGGAAACACUUUCUUUAGUCAGAAAUAAUUAGGAGAAAUAUUCAAGACAAAGAUUAAAAAUGACCCGGUUUACUAACUCAUCAAGUUGUAAAUUAAAGACUUUGAUUGAAGUCGUCUCCUAAUAAAGUCUAAAUUUGUAUUUUGCUGGGAAUGGAUAAUGUGGCAACCAUGAUCCUGUAGCCCAACUACCCAAACCUACAAAAUAAUAAGCGAAGAUGCUCUGGUCUCCAAAUAUAAUACGGUGUUAUUAAUCCCUACUAUAGUAAAAGAGAAGUACACAAGGUAUUCGGGUCGGGUUUUUCAAAAAAUUCCGGGUUAAAUUUUCAAUCGGAUACUUGCCAAAUUUUUUGUUAAAUAUUUUUCAAAUAUUUUAAUAAUAUACACCAGAUUCCUAUCAUUUAGGAAACUAUAUUAAUGCUAAAUAAAAAUAUGUCUUAUAAGGAAAAUUUGUUUAUGAAUAUAAAGAUCUCAAUAUUUUAAAAAUAUUCUAAUUAUUAUAUUAAUUUCUUAUAUGAAAAAACAAAAAAAAAUUAUAAUUUUUUAUAAGUUUAAAUAUUUGAUAUAUAGAAAAAUAUAAUUUAAAAAUAUUUGGUAUAACAAAUAUAAAAAUGCAUCUAAAAUACAUAAAUAAUGGUAAUAUAAUCAAUAAAAAUGUUAAUUAGUUAAAUGUUUCGAAAAAUAAAAUUUGAAUAUAUAUGGCUAUAAAAAUGAAAGAUUUUAUUAAAGAUUUUAUAAAAACCGAAAGAUUUUAUAUAUAUUAAAUCUUUAUUAUUAUUUUUUAUAUUUCCUAAUAUGUUAAAUGAAAGAUUUUAAUCAGAAGAAAAAAAUAGUAUAUGAAAAGAGGUUUCAAAAUUAUUCCAAUCUUUAUCAAUUUGAAUUACCUAUAAAAAAAAGAAUUAUAUUUUAUCAUUAGCAUAAUUAAUGCGAAAUUAUAGAGAUCCAUAUAUAUCUAAAAAUGGUUAUAUUUGAAUUUUGAAAAAAAACAGAAAUUUGACAAUCAUUAAUAUAUUUCAAUGAGUAAUACGAAAUAUUUUGGAUACAAAAAAAAUAAUUAAAUUUUAGGAUAAUUAUUAUAAUUAACUAAAAAUACUUUAAUAACAAUAUUUUAUCUUUGUAAUUAUUAAUCAUCGAAUCACUACUAAUAAAAAAUCAGUCAUAAAGAAUAUAUUCCAUAAGUUAGUUUAAAUAAAUUACCUGAAAUUCUGAAUUUUCCUUAAAAUGUUCUAAAUAUUUUAAUAUGUGAAUAACAAGAAUAUUAUGGUCUCUUAUUCAAUAUGAAGUAUAUUAAUAUUUUUAUUUUAUUUUAAUAGGAUACAAGUAUAUACAAAUCUUUCAAACUCAUAUGUUCUUGUGUGAUACAUGUAUAUACAUGAUUUUCAUGAUUUUUCAAUAUCAUAUAUUUUCAUGAUUUUUUUAAAAAUACACGGGUUUUUCCUGAUUGGUUGUAAACAUUCUGAGUAUACAUUGUGAGUAUACAAUUUGUUUAGUAAACAUUCUUUUAUUUAGUUUAUAAAAAUAUUAUAUUUAAUUUCCGAAAACACACUUUUCUCAAAGAAUUGAAACCAAAUAUACGUUUCGAAAUAAUAAUUGUUGAUACUAAAAUGAACGAAAUAAUAACACAUACGACAAAACACGUUAAAAUAAAAUAAACCUGAAAAUAUUCUUUCGCGUUGUAGCGCGGAUCUGAACCUAGCAUACGUGACAAAGUACACAUACACGAUAGAACAUAUUCUCAUACUUGCCAAAUUCAACACCAACAAUCCAUUUUAACAGUUAAAAGUUUACGUAAUUCAGAAAAAAAAAAACAAAAACUGACACUUUUCCCCCGCGCUGUAGCGCGGGUCCGGGCCUAGUUAACACUGAUAAUGUGACAUAGCAGAAAAUUUAUAAACAACGAGCUAGCGAUCCAUUGAUUCUAAGAAACUUAUAAACAACGACCUAGUGACUUUUUUUUUUAUUCUAAGAGUCGGUAACAAGAAAUGAUUUGCACAUGUUACUAACAAAUCGUUUUUUUUUCAUUUUAGAUAAACCUUAUCGGCUGAUCCGAUUAACUCUGGUAGAAACGCACUGAUAUGAUUGAGAGUAGAUUUCUUUACCAACGACGAAUAUCGUUGUGUUGUUAAAUGAAAACAAUGUCCAAUUAAGCCUUGCGAACGCUGGUUCAAGGCGGAAAGAUGAUGCAUGCAAAUAUGUUUGUCUUGCAAGUAAUCAAUCAUGCUGAUCUCUAAAUUUUGAAUUAGAAGUUGAAGAAUGAUGGGAAAGUUGUUGGGUAAAAACAAUUCAUCACCAAGUGCUAAUAGAUCAAUUGGUAAAGAUCUCUGGCAGAAGCUUAGAGGUCGCCGGUUCGAGUAGCGCUUGGGACGAAACCAUAUAACAUGCUUUGGUUUCGGGCCUGAGGGGAUGUAUGGGAUUUGGCCCAGAACCUCUUUGAUUAUUCAAAAAAAAAAAACAAUUCAUCGAACUAUUGAUAAGUGCAAGCUUAUGUGAAAAGCACAUGUGAAGAGUUAAAAGAGAAGCAUGAGAAGAAUUGUGUAUAAAUAGGGUUGAGUAUCCCUUAUAAAUAAACAAGGCCUCACAAAAGAAAAAAACAAGAAAAAAUAAGGAGGAAAGACAAGAGACUUAAUAUUGAGACCACAACAAUCGACUCGAGCACACGACUAGGGUUCAUCUCAUGAUUGGUUGUGUAUUGAUUCGUUUCCUGUAUUUACCAUCGAUACACUGAUCAAUAAAAAAGAGACUAUUCGACAUUUAUUUCGUGUUUUAUGUAAACUAAAUAAAUCGAUUACUUUUACCUAAACAAUCAGCUUUAACAUAAUACAAGUACAAAUUAUUACUUUCUAAUAUAAUAACCGAGAAUCUAAUGUGGGUAAAUUGACCCGUGGUUGACCACGGGAUAAAUUCUAAUAUCCGCUUAAUAAGUUAAGUUAAUGCCUACGCUUUCCGCGAGCUAGUAAGUUCUUAACAAUCUCGUGCUUAGUGAAAUGUUAGCACAUACAUAUUGCUGCAAGUAAUAUACGGAUGGCUCUAUGACUGCUCCAAAGCAUCCGAGCCAUUCCCUUCUUUGAGUUCACUCUAUACUUCUGUUUCUUUCUGUUUUGUUCUAUGCACUGCCCAACAGUUUGGCUAAUUCUUUUUUUACCAAAGCAGACACUUUUGGCCGUAGCCGAUUUGGUUAAUUGCUAUAGUUGAGUAAUAAUUUUUUUUGGGGAAAGUUAAAAGAAAAAAACAAAAAAAAAUCGGGGAACAUUGGAGACCCAAUUCGCAAUUCCCAGACAUUCUUCAUCUCCUUCGUAAAUCGUCGAUUCAAAUCAGGCGUCGAAUUACAGCAAAAGCCCCAUCUCGUGGCUCCCAGAGAUGUCGUUAGGGCAAAAGAGUGCGACGGAUCCUGGUACGAUGCUCACUUCCCUUUUGAACAAGCGAGAGAAGCUUCGCCAAGAGUUACGGAGCAUCGAGAAACAGGUUAGGGGAAUUUGUAUGUUCUAGAGUUUAUUCGAUUCAAUUAGCACCGCGCAAAUGUUGAAUCGACCAUACUCAAAUCUUGGGUUCUUUUAUUUUCUAAUCUUUAUAGGUUUAUGAAUUGGAGACAAGCUAUCUUCAAGAAUCGAGCCAUAUAGGAAAUGCUCUAAAAGGGUUUGAAGGGUUUUUGUCUUCUUCCAAGAGUAGUGCUAGGUCUCUCUCUCUCUCUCAUUCUCUUUGAUUUUGUAGAAAAUUUGAUUCUGUUUAUUGAAAUUGAUUGCUUUUGCUUUAGAGAAUGUAGUAACUUCUCAGCGUUUAGUAUGUUUAUUGUGUGGAGGAAAGAGAGUGAUUGGUUUUGGUAUGAACCCAUUUUACAGUGCUAAGAGGUCAAGGAAGUUUCAGCCUGAAGACAGAGUCUUCUCAUUGUCCUCAGUCACUUCACCUGCUGUAUGUUUCUUUCACUUUCUCUCGAUGCAAAGACGGUUUUUCUUGUUUCACUUGUUUUUGCGGGAGAUCGAAUCACUGCCAAAAGAACCAAUUGUUUCCUUUAUAGUACGUAGUUUGGGUUGAGAAUACAGUUUCUUAAGAUAUGGUUGAUUACUAAAUGGCUGAUUUCUCUAAGCAGAUUCAAACUAGUGUAAAAGAUGAAUCAAUGAUGUGAAAGAGCUAGAGUUCUGUGAAAUGCCUUUGUGUCUUUGUCUUGCGACUGUCAUUUGUUAGUUUAUUACUCUGUCUUCUUUAUUCGAAAGUCGGUUGGCCUUCUUUAGUGAAAAAGGUGUUUGUUUUCAAGUGGUAGCUUAGAGUUAACCGCAGUUUUAAGACUUGUAUGUUGAUCUACCCUGGUCUGUAUUCAGGCGGAAGAGCUUGGUGUUGGAAGAGAAGGUAGGCCCUGCAGCUACACCUAUGCUGAAUUCACUUUUGCCUAUUAUGAAUCAGUUUAUUACAUGCUUUAUCUCUGAAUUAUAUAGAUGGAAGAGCUGAAUUGGGGCCAGGGCGAUCAAAGGGUGGUUUGUCGACGGCACAGUUAGUUUCCCAACCUUCCUUUACCUCGUUUAGACCUGACCCGUCCUAUACAUGAUUUUGGUUUGACCAAUGUAAUGAAAUUAUAGGGGAAAGCCAAAGAAAGGGAGAGGACAAUCGAUAGCCAGAGAGGCAAAGAGAAGCAGACCAUCUACAGAACCAGAUUAUGAAGAUGAAGAUGAUCCGGACUUGAAUAUGUAUGGGCAUGGCACACUCAUGUAAGACGUUUGACACAGUAAGAAACAAAUCCCGCGUGUAACCUUUCUUUUGCAUCCUAGAACAGAACAGAACCGAUCGAAGUAAGUCUAGGAAGUAGGAACUAAUGUGCCAGCUUUACAUCAUCCAUUAUUAUGAGGUUGCAGUGAGGGCUUUAUCAAAUAUUUUAAUCAGUGUCUAGAAAAGGUGAAAAACUACAUGAUCAUAUCAGUUUAUAGUCACCUUUUCAAUUACAAUAUGGAUGAAAGAAAGCAGUUGUAAGAAUGUGUAAGAGUGGAAUUGGUUGGCAUGUAUCAUCAUGAUUCAUCAUUUCUGAUUGAAGCUUAAAAUAGAAUUUGUUCUUCUGGGUCCAAACUUAGUUGUACUUUCUCUUUUCUUGCUUCUUUCUAUAUUACUUUUCUAAUAUGAAUUAUAAAAAUAAUUGCCAAAAUAAAAAUAUUAUAUUGUAAUGAAAUGAUCUAUGAAGAAAAGAAUGUUCAUACAUUCACAAAAAAAACAAGAGUGGUGAACCAUAUGUAUUCACAUUACAUGGAAAAAAAAAUGACGUGAAAAAGUUUGUUACCAUUUUUGAGAAUUCACCAAAAUUUUUAAACAAUGAAGAAAGAAUGAGAAAACAAAGUUCUUAUAGAAAAUUUAAAGAAGAAAAUGAAAACACAAUCAGGAAGAGUGUGAUCAAAUUCAAGCACUUCGUUUUAACCUUUCUUGGAAUUCAAGAAACGACCUCUCUUUCUCCAUCUUCAUACUUUCUCUAAACUUGUAGAUGAACUCGUCGGCUCUCUCGUCAACCUGCAAAUGCGGCGACGCAGCCACCACUCUCCUCCAAGCAUCUUCCAUUGAAUCAGCAAUCUCCGGCAUCCCUUCUUCGUCUUCUUCUUUUUUCUCCUCCUUUUUCCCAACAACUCUCUCUUUGCUCCCACUCGUCCCCUCACCACGUGAUUGGCUUUGGCUUUGGUUUUGGUUUUGGCUUUGGCUUUGGUUUUGGCUUUGGCGUUUGCUUUGGCUUUGGCUUUGGUAUUGAUAGAUUUGAGAGUAAUAAUCAUCAUCAUAUCCAUAGUGACGACGCUUUGGUUUAGUGCGAUCGCGAGAGAAAGCAUUGAGAAACUGCCGAGAACUUUCGUUGCCGCUAUAGUGAUAUUUGUCGGUGGUGUAGCUAUUGUUUUGAAGGUACCUUGUUCUGAAAGGAACGAUGAGACGGCGAGAGAUGAACCUGAGGACACGAGCCGUUGAGUUUCUGACCGAUGAAGCGAUCUCCAUGUCUCUAAAUUUAGACUUGACCAUGUUCGUGAAGUUCUUCCAUGCCCUCUUCGCUGGAUGUUGCUUCUUCUUUUGCCGCAACGAAGCCAUUCUAGAGCCCUUUACCCUUUUUUUUUCUUUUUCUUUUCUUGAAAUAUGUUUGGCCAAAUGUGUAUUAUUGUCAAGAAAUGGUUUAUAUUUUAGUUCUAGCUAGCCUUCUAGGCUCUUUCAUUUUCCUAAUUAAAAUACUAAAACAACAUUGCUUUUGGGUAAAAAGUAGGGAACAAAAAGUGAGUUCUCUUAGCUUACUCCGGAUGGCAAAAGAAAAUAAAAACUUAGAUUCUUGCUUAAAAAGAGCAUAUUGUUUUGCAUAUCUUCAGGUUAUAAAUCUGAAUAUAGAUUUUAUAUAUAUUUUGACUAAAGUUCUUCACAGUGUGUUUAAAGAUGGUAUGAACCUGAGUUGUUUUUGAAGCUCUGUAAAAGAUACAUGGAAAAUGAAAGUAAUGUUUCCAUGAAGGUGAAGAGACCCAUGUGAGAGAUCCGACCAAGGGAAGGCCCAUAAUUUUUAUUUGGAUAAUGACUAAUAAGUGUAAUUAUUGGAAUGGGACUGUUGAGCUAAUAAUUAUUAUUUUAACCAACAACCAAUCAAUCAAUCAUACUAUGCAUUUAUCUGCACAUUCCAAAAGAUUAUAAUUUAUUAACCAUAGCUUUAUAUUCCUUCUCAUAUGUACCAACCAAUUUGUUGUUUUGAGACUUGUCUUCGACAUUAUUUAUCUACUCUUAGUUAUAUGACUUCUGCCUUACAUUAGUUUCAAGGAUGAGGCUUGUGGAUUCCAUUGACAUCAAAGCAAUUUUUAAUUCGGAGAAAAAUACUAUUGAAAAGAAUUAAGAUCUAAUUAGUAAAAAAAUUAGUUUUAAGGAUGAGGCUUGUGGAUUCCAUUGACAUCAAAACAAUUUUUAAUUCGAAGAAAAUACUAGUGAAAAGAAUUAAGAUCUAAUUGGUAAAAAAAAUAGUUUUAGCGGUUUUGAUUUGUAUUAUUUUCUAAAUAGUCUUCUUCUUUAAAACCUAUUAUUUUGGAGGGGAUUUUUAUAUUCUUAUACCGGCUUAAUUUUCAGGAAUCUGUUUUUUUCGACUAACUUAUGUAAUUUCAUCCAUCGUUAAUAUAUUUUGGAUGACAAAAAAAGUUAUAAUAAGUUAAUAACGUUGUGUAAGAAAAUGUAAACAAAUUUAAUUCAAUUCAUUUUGUUUACACCAGCAUUUUUAACAUUGAGAUGUUCAUUUGAAUAUCUGUUAGAAAAUUAUAGAAAAACAAUUAAAAGUUAUGUAUGGCACAUCUUUAUUCUAUGCAAACUACAAGCCUCCACUUUCCAAAGGGGUUCUUGCCUUUUUUUUUUUUUUUUGGUAAGAUUGCAUUUUUUUUUUUCGUAGUGAUAAAACAUGGGUAAUUAUUUUCUUAGGCAACAAGUUAAACUACUCUCACUCAAACAAAAACAUGUAAUUGUUCUAUGCAAAUUCGGUUUCCAAAGUGCAUUUCAUCUAAGUAAGAGUCACAUAGAUAUCCCAAUUCUCACAAGUUACACCUAAAUGAGUUUAAAUCUCUCUUUUAUGAGCCGACAAAAAGGAAAAUAUUGGGCGUCCAAAAGUUGCAAUUGACGCUAAUUAAUAAACUCGAACGGUACUGAUAGUCAAGUAAAGUUGCGCUAACGAUAAAUUAAGAGAUUUUAUAAUUGCUCACGCAUUUGUUAAUAUGCAAACUCUUUGAAUAACAAAAUAAAAUUAAGUUCCUCCAUUACAAUAGUUUAGAAUUUAUAUGGUCAAAGUCAAACUAUUUAGUCACUAAAAUGAUCACCCAUAUAAAUCUCUCUUUCUAAAUAAGUCAAAAGUCAAUAUAACGGAUAAGCGUUUUACAAUUUCUCCUUUGUAUACAUCGAGAAAUAUUUGUGUGUAUGUGAUCUUGAUUCUUGAACUUUUCUCGCUAUUUUGUCUCAUGGCUUCUUCUUCUUCUUCGCCUCGCACUUGGAGAUACCGCGUCUUUGCAAGCUUCCACGGAGCCAACGUCCGUAAAACAUUUCUGAGUCAUUUACGUAAACAGUUUAACUACAAUGGGAUCACGAUGUUUGAUGACCAAGGGAUCGAGAGAAGCCAUACCAUCGGACCUGCUCUCACACAAGCCAUCAGGGAAUCAAGAAUCUCAAUCGUCUUGCUAUCGAAGAACUAUGCGUCUUCGAGCUGGUGCUUGGAUGAGUUGUUGGAGAUUAUCGAGUGUAAAGAAGCUAUGGGACAGAUCGUGAUGACAGUCUUCUACGGAGUAGAUCCAUCUGAUGUGCGGAAACAGACAGGAGAGUUUGGGAUGGCUUUCUCUGAAACGUGUUCCCGAAGUAACAAAGAGAAGAAGCGAAGAUGGAGUCAAGCUUUGAACCAUGUGGGAAACAUAGCUGGAGAACACUUUCAAAACUGGUUUGUCUGUUUUUUUUUUUUUUUUAAUUCUUUUAAUUAAUUUAGGAUUGUUAUACUUUCUUGAAAUUAUUCUCAUAUCAAUUUUUGUUUUAUUUUUCUCACUUGUUAGGGACAAUGAAUCAAAUAUGAUUGAAAAGAUUACUAGAGAUAUUUCAAACAAACUAAACACUACAAUCUCUAGAGAUUUUGACGAUAUGGUUGGACUUGAAGCACACUUGGAGGAAAUGAAGUAUUUGUUAGAUUUAGAUUAUGAGGAUGGAGCUAUGAUAGUUGGAAUAUGUGGCCCUGCAGGCAUUGGUAAGACUACCAUUGCUAGAGCUUUACAUAGUAUACUUUCUAGUAGUUUCCAGCUUAGUUGUUUUGUGGAGAAUCUUAGGGGAAGCUAUAGUAGUUGUCUUGACGAGUAUGGUUUGAAACUGCGUUUACAAGAGCAGCUACUUUCAAAUAUUUUAAACCAAAACGGUAUGAUGGUACACCAUUUAGGUGCUAUACAAGAAAGGCUAUGUGACCAAAAGGUGCUUAUCAUUCUUGAUGAUGUGAAUGAUCUAAAGCAACUAGAGGCUUUGGCUAAUGAGACUAGUUGGUUUGGACCUGGAAGUAGGAUCGUUGUGACCACGGAAGAUCAAGAGAUUUUGAGGCAACAUGGUAUCAACAAUACUUACCAUGUGGGUUUUCCAUCUAUAGACAAUGCUCUUGAGAUCUUUUGUUUAUAUGCUUUUAGGAAAAGCUCUCCUCCUGAUGGUUUUACAAAACUUACAGAAAGAGUAACAAGUAUUUUUGAUAACCUUCCAUUGGGUUUACGUGUCAUGGGGUCAUCUUUACGUGGGAAGGGGGAGGAUGAGUGGGAAGCUCUAUUAGACCGGCUAGAAAAUAGCAUUGAUCGAAAUAUCGAGGGAGCACUUAGAGUUGGGUAUGAUAGUUUACAUGAAGAAGAACAAGCUCUAUAUCUCCACAUUGCGAUCUUUUUCAACUACCACAAAGAUGAUUGUGUGAUGGCAAUGCUCGCUGACAGUUACUUCGAUGUCAAAAACGGUUUGAAAAUCCUAACCAACAAAUCACUCAUAUAUAAAUCUAGCAGUGGGGAAAUAGUAAUGCACAAGUUGCUACAGCAAGUGGGUAGACAAGCAAUUAAAAGACAAGAGCCUUGGAAACGGCACAUCUUAAUAGAUGCUCAUGAGAUUUGUUAUGCCUUAGAGAAUGAUACAGUAAGUUUUUUUUUUUCCUUCAGUUUAAGUUAUUCUUUGGUGAAUGUAAAAAGCAUUAUCUGUUGUGUUAUGCUAACAAAUUCUUCAUUUGGAGUGUCUUUUAGGAUACAAGAGCUACUUUAGGCAUAUCCCUUGAUACAUCUCAAAUCAACAAAGUUUUUAUAAGUGAGGCAGCUUUCAAAAGAAUGCGCAAUCUUCGAUUCCUAAGUAUUUAUAAUACAAGAAAUGUUAUAAAUGAUCGAGUGGACAUACCUGAGGACUUGGAGUUUCCACCUCAUCUAAGGUUACUACGCUGGGAGGCAUACCCAAGAAAUCCUCUUCCUACUACAUUUCAUCCGGAAUAUCUUGUAGAACUUGAUCUACAAGAGAGCCAUCUUGAGAAGCUUUGGCAAGGAACACAGGUUACAUUAUUUUCUUAUAUUUGAAUAUGUUACUUUUUACUCAUUGUGUUCUGAUGUUUUUUCCUUGCUUGUGUUUUAUCACUCAGCCACUCACAAAUCUCAAGAAAAUGGAUUUGACACGAUCCUCUUACUUAAAGGAACUUCCAGAUCUUUCAAACGCUACAAAUCUCGAGAGCUUGGAAAUGAGCCAUUGCAAGAGUUUGGUAGAGAUCCCUUCCUCUUUUUCAGAACUUCGAAAACUACAAACGUUGAUAAUACACAACUGCACAAAGCUAGAAGUUGUUCCAACUCUCAUCAACAUGGCAUCUCUUGACUUCGUCAACAUGUAUGGAUGCUCACAAUUGAAAAGUCUUCCAGGUAUAUCUAAGCACAUCUCAAGACUCGUUAUAGAUGACACAGUAGUAGAAGAACUGCCAACAUCAAUAAUGCUUUGCACUCGUCUUACGACUCUUCUUAUAAGAGGUAGUGGAAACUUUAAGGUAUUAACACAACUCCCUCAAAGUCUAACGUAUCUAGACCUAAGGUGUACGGGUAUUGAGAAGAUUCCAGACUGGAUCAAAGAUCUUCAUGCACUAGGAUUCCUUCAUAUAGGAGGCUGUAUAAAACUUAAAUCGCUACCACAACUUCCUCUUUCGCUCAGGUCGUUAAAUGCAUGUGAUUGUGAAUCACUCGAAAGUGUUACUUGUGCAACAAGCUUCAGUUCACAUGUGAACUACAAUUUCACCAAUUGCUUCAAACUGAACCAAGAAGCAAGAAGAGAUAUUAUCCAACAAUCCUUCUUUUCAGGGUUGAGAGUUUUACCAGGAAGAGAAGUGCCUGAAACGUUCAAUCACCAAGCUAAAGGAAAUUUCUUGACAAUCCAUCCAGAGAGAGGUAGUCAUUUUACUGCAUCCUCAACAUUUAAAGCUUGCAUUGUGAUUUCCCCUACCGGGUUGAUCACUACGGGGAGAAGGCUAAUCAGUUUAACGUGUCGUCUCAAAAGCAAAAAUGGUGACGUUAUCAACGAAGUUUAUCAUUGUUUUAGCUUACCUGAACAGUCCCCUGGAACAAAAUCAGAACAUCUUUGCUUAUUUCACAAUGACUUGCUAGACAGAGAUACAUGUUUUGAAGUGGACGACAGUGAGAUAUUGUUCGAAUUUAGCUGCACCCCUUCUGACGCCUAUGAGAUUGUUCAAUGUGGUGUUGGAAUAUAUGGAGAAGAAAUCCAACAAAAGAGCGACUGCAGCAAUGCGUCUAAAAGUAUUUCUGACCAUGGCCAUUAUACAUAUAGACAUACAUGCAACUUCAAAUCAGACAAGGUGUGUGAAGAAGCCAAUGUCCAAGUUCGCAAACGUAAGGGUUUUUGGAGUUGGCUACGUAGGAAAUAGCAUUUAUUUAUGUUUAUUUUCUGGUUGUUCUAUAGUAAAUACAAUAAUCAAAGAUUAGAACAACAAUUAAAAUAAAAUAAAAAGAAUUUUUCAUAUAUAUUCUUCCUCAUCUCCAUGAGUUGCUUUAGGGCAUCUCCAAAGGUUAACCCUUCUUAUGGGGUUUUAGAAAAUUUUUAUUUAUAAAUUUUGAUGAAUUGAAAGUUUAUCCGCUCUUUCCCUUCUUUAGUGUUUCGUUCUUGAUCUCUUUUCUUUUUUUAACAUAUCUUUUACGUUUAUAUAUGUUUUGAAUAAGAUCAGGUUUACUUGAUGUUUGUCUUGGACGUUAAUCUGAUAAACUGUAACUAUAUUGGCUUACAAGUUUGGUUUUAUUCUCGGCGUUAAGUUUAUUACACAAAUUUUUCUGGUCAUCUUCAAUUACUGAUGCAUAAUAAAAUUGGAUAAUUAGUAUAUUACUUGUUAAAAUCUCGCUCAAAUUCGGAUUGAUAUUUCGAUUUUCGAUCAAGAAGUAUAUUAUUAUUAUUAUUAUUAUUAUUAUUAUUAUUAUUAUUAUUAUUAUUAUUAUUAUUAAUAAUAUUAUUAUUAUUAUUAUUAUUAUUAUUAUUAUAUAUUAUGUUUUUGAAUAAAAUGUAAAAUUUAUUAGAAAAAUCGGUUUUUACAACUAAUGCCGCUUUUACUUAAACGGUUUGCAUGUUAUAAAAAUAGAGGAAUGAAAACAAAAUUUAGAAACUAAUCAUGAAAACUAUCUUGAAUCAUGCAUCCUCUUAAAUUUUCAUCUACUCGCUCUUGAACGGUGGAUAUAAGCUAGUAAAUUAUUUGUUAAGAAGUGGAGCCAAGUAGCCUGUGGGACAAAGUUUCGUAUGGAUCCAUGUGCAUUGCAGCAGUAGUGACUAUAGUUUCUAUAGUUUUUUUUAGUUUCUAAAAUAUUUGAGAUAAACAUGCAUUUUAUGUUUAUGCACAUAAAUUGUAUGACAUACUUAUAAAACAUAUGUGUAUUCUUAUAUAUAAUUAGAAAAUUGUACACUCAAUGAGUGGGUUAUAUAUGAAAUAUUAAUUUGAAAUAGAAUUUGAAAAUUACAUUAAGUUAUAUAUAGUUUAUAAGCAAUUGUUAAUAUAAAACAUAUUUUGUGUAUAUUAUAAACAGUAAAAGUAAAACAAAAAAUUAUUUGAAAAAUAUGAAACCGAAUGAGAUAAACAAAGUAAUACAAAAUUAGCACACACAUAAUAUAGUAGGAAACUGUUAAUUUCUGUUAAAUUUUUUCCCCGUAAAUUGUAAAUAUUAAAUGUAAACAAAACUCACAUUAUUUUAUGAGUAUUGGUUUAUCAUCUUAUUUUUUAUCAUUAGUUAAAAGUAAAUUUGAAUUUUAAAAAGAUCAAGUUAAACUUUGUAACAUGUCAAAUUAAAAGAUUUCACCUGAGAUAUAUGAUUUUUCUUAUAACUUAUUUAGAAAAGCUUUUUUAAUUUAGAUUAUAAGAGCUUUUAAACUAUGAUUAUGUAAACACUAAAAAGAGAAAGCAAAAGCAAACAUAACUUUGUUAUUUUUCAUUCUAACUGAUUGGAAAAAAACUCACAUAGGACGACGUAGAUGAUAUCCAUUUUUAUAUAUUAAAAAAAAUUAUGUAGAAUUUUUCAAGAAUAAAAUUAAUAUUGAAACCAUCUAAAAACGAACAUAAAGAUUUACAUUCCUAUAAAAGCUAAAGAAAUGAAUCCGUAUUAAAAAGGCAUAAGAAGUUUACAACAACAUUAACAAAGAAGAUGAAUGAUGAUAUCUAUCUAUUUUAUGUACAACAACAAUCAUGAACUGCUCUUAAGAAAUCAAUUUUAUGUUUGGUAUCUCUAGAAAAAUCUAACUUAGGGUAGAUAAAAUAAAUGGAUCUCAUCUACGUCCUCCUAUGUGAGCUUCAUUCAUACUCUUAAGUAUGAAAAAGUAAGUAUAAAAAGGAAUUAGUAAAAAAUUGAAACUAUGUUAGAUAUAUAUAUAUAUAUAUAUAUCAUACUUUAUAAAAUAAAUUUAGAUCAAAUUCUAAAAAUGAUAUUUUCAUUGAUUUUCAAUCCAUAUAAUAACACAAAGAUAGAAAAUUAUUUAAGAUACAUGAAUAUAGUGAAAGAAAAUGAGAGAGAGAGAGAGAGAUUAUUUAUAAGAUGAUAGUCUAAAAUAGACAAUAGAGAAGAACUUUUAUAAAAGAAAACAAUUUAAAGAUAUAUCAUAUAGUGUCUAAAAUUAAAAUUUAGAUUAAACUUUUACAAUAAUAUUUAAAUUUAUUUUUCAUCUCAUACACCAACAAACAACAAACAACCACCAACAAAACAAAAAAAAAUUAUAGAAGAUUUGAGAUAAAGUGGAAGAGUAUGAGGGAAUGAGAGAAUGAGUAUUUAUAAGAUGAGAAGCAAUGAGAGUUACAAUUUAGAAGAAAAAUUGUGGGAGUUAAUUCUAAUUUAUUAUGUGUUGACUAAAAUUGAGUAGGAGAAUUUCGUUAAUGCAAAUUUACAUUAUUUCUGUUUUUAUAUUAAAGUGUGAGUUGAAUGUAUAUGAUUAAACGUGGUCUAAUUGAAUAUAUAUAUUCAGUAUUAAUUAUUAAAGUGUAAGUUAAAUAUAAAGAAUGUUUAGAUAAAUAUAUAUGAUCAAUGUGUUUUAUUGAAAUUUUUUUUUUCAAUUUUAUAGGAAAAUGUGUGUUCAAUAUAUAUAAUUAAAGUUGUUGUAUCUUUGUGUUUAUAUAUAUAAAUAUGAUUCAUUUUAUUAUAAAAUACCAUGUUCUUUCUUAAUUUUAAUGAUAGAAGGAAAAUAAUAAAAAUGUAAUAAAAUUGUGUGAAGUUGAUGUUUUAAUUAUGCGAUAGUAAAUCUUAUAUAUAUAUAUAUAGUGUGUGUGUGUGUGUGUGUGUGUGUGUGUUCAAUUUUAUAUCAUAUGCAAUAUGAGAUCUUACUUUUAUAUGUAUAUGUCAAGUGUAUCAACAAAAAACAGAUUUAGUUACAUAUUUUGCUUUAUACAAAUGAAUCUUGGAUCCUAAAUAAUAAUUUUACUCAUAAUAUUUUUUUUUAAUUGUUACCUAAGUAUAAAUUAAGGUUGACAUAAAUUUUAAAAUCAAUAGUUAAAAAUAAAAAUGAGAAAAAAAUAAAUAACACAUGUUAUCAACAGAAAGCGCCAAAUGUCGUAAAGUGAGAAAAAGUUAGAAAAAAAACAUAAGAAAAAAAAAAAACCUUGUUAUAUUAUACAAGAUUGUUUUGUUAUUCUGGCUUAGUUCCAAAACAGUGACUCGAAGUCCAAGGGAGUAGUAGUGACCGAUCCCACUCCUAAAUAUAGACAUUUGCAAGCACCAAAACACCCACCAAUGUAUGUGUUUUCGUAUUUAUUGUGAUAACACAGUAUAUAUGUAAAAUAAAUAAGUAAUAGGAAUUAGGCUGAGAGAGAAAUGUGGAUGGAGAAGGGGAAGUGCGGUAAAGUCUGAGGUUAUUUGCAUGAGAGCUUCAAACACUCCUAAAAUGGCGAUCUUCCUUUAGAAACUCUCUUUUCUCUUUCUUACGUUUAUUCUAAACCACUCUCCUGAUUUCUAGGAUCAUUAUUGUCACUGAUCAAACGUAACUCAUCUUUUUUUUUUUUUUUCUUAAUCUUUCUUAUUGGUUAGUUUCAAAGAUCAAUAUUGUGUUUACACUUUUGAAACAAUAAGGGGAUUGAAUGAGCUUAGUAGUGGAUCAAGUUGGAGAAGGAAUUGAAGACGAAUGCAUCUAUGAAGACAGGUGAAUCAAACCACCUGAUGCUUCUUGAGCUUAUCCUUUCUCUUCGGCUUUUUCCCUUCGGGUUUUCUCAGAUGGAAUGGCAGAUCCUUCUAGCUAUGUCAAUCACGAGCGUGACAUCGACCAAGUUUGUUUCUCUCCUAACUUCUUCUUCUUUCUUCUUUUUUUCCCAUUCUUUGAAUUCACAUGCAAAAGCUUUUCUUCUCAAUUACAUAUGUGCAUUGUUUUGUAGGCACUCAUUGCUUUGAAAAAAGGAACUCAGUUACUUAAGUAUAGCCGCAAAGGGAGGCCUAAAUUUCGCUCAUUCAGGCUUUCACCGGUAAUAUUUCUAAUAAGUGAAUUUCUUGUGUAUCAAGAUUUGUUUGACUUGUUACAACUUACCACGUACGCUUGAACAGGAUGAAGCAACAUUGUUUUGGCUCUCACACGGAGAAGAAAAAGGUUUGAAGUUAUCUACAGUUUCGAGAAUUCUCCCUGGACAAAGAACUGUGAGUAUAGUGUAAACCAAAUCUUACUUUGUUAACUAUCUUAUUACCAAAACUUACUUUGUUAAUAACUAUCUUAUUUCCAUGGAACUCACACAUCUUGUUUUAAUUUGUUUAUACGUACUUAGGCUGUUUUUAGGAGAUAUUUACGUCCAGAAAAGGAUUACUUGUCAUUUUCUCUCAUAUAUCACAACGGAGAUAGAUCUCUUGAUUUGGUUAGUAAACUAUAUUAACAUAUUAAAAUUUCUUUGAUUGCCUUCUUAUUCUCUUUUAAUAUUAUCACAUGUGGGAUCAUGUUCACACUUCACACAGAUUUGCAAGGACAAAGCUGAAACAGAGGUUUGGUUUGCAGGACUUAAGUCUUUAAUUAGACAAAACCGUAAUAAGCAGCACGUUAGAAGUGAGAUCCCUGAGGUGUGUGGUUCUAUUUGUGACUUUAUAUUUUUUUCUAUGUAUUAUUUUGUAACUUUUUGUUAAUCAACUCAUUUUUCAGAUAUAUGAUAGUGAUUGUUACUCUAGUGGUCGUCCUUCUACUGCAUCAUUAGAUUUUGCACCAAACAAUACACGACGAGGAAGAACAUCUAUUGAUUUAGGAAUCCAGAACUCUCCAACAAAGUUUGGUAGCUCAGAUGUGGGAUAUGAUCGUGGAAACAUGCUAAGACCAAGUGUUGAUGGCUUUCGAAUUAGUGUCUCAAGCACACCAAGCUGUUCAACUGGAACGUCUGGUCCUGAUGACAUAGAAUCGUUAGGAGAUGUUUAUGUCUGGGGAGAAGUUUGGAGCGACGAGAUAUCGAAUGAUGGGUACACGAGAACCGUAAAAACAGAUGUAGUGAUUCCAAGACCCUUGGAAUCAAACGUUGUUCUUGAUGUUCAUCAGAUAGCUUGCGGUGUAAGGCACAUCGCUCUUGUGACAAGGCAAGGUGAAGUCUUUACAUGGGGAGAAGAAGCUGGAGGAAGGCUUGGACAUGGUAUUCAAGUUGAUGUUAGUCGUCCAAAACUUGUAGAGUUUCUUGCUCUUACCAACGUAGAUUUUGUUGCUUGUGGUGAAUAUCACACUUGUGCUGUGUCCACCUCUGGAGAUAUAUAUACUUGGGGAGAUGGAAUUCACAACGUUGGGCUGUUAGGACAUGGGAGUGAUCUUAGUCACUGGAUACCAAAAAGAGUCUCUGGUCCUGUGGAAGGACUUCAAGUCUUAUCUGUGGCGUGUGGCACGUGGCAUUCUGCGCUUGCGACUGCUAAUGGAAAACUAUUCACGUUUGGUGAUGGAGCUUUUGGUGUUCUUGGACAUGGAGAUAGAGAGAGUGUUUCAUACCCUAAAGAAGUGAGGAUGUUGAGUGGCCUUAAAACCAUGAAAGUAGCUUGUGGAGUGUGGCAUACGGUAGCUAUAGUUGAAGUUAUGAGUCAGACUGGUACAAGUAUGCCAUCUAAAAAGCUGUUUACUUGGGGUGAUGGUGAUAAACACAGGUUAGGACAUGGAAACAAAGACACUUAUCUGUUUCCAACUUGCGUCUCUUCACUAAUUGACUACAACUUCCACCAGAUAGCUUGUGGUCAUACAUUCACAGUUGCACUCACAACUUCAGGACAUGUUUUCACUAUGGGAGGGACUUCACAUGGUCAGCUCGGUAGCUCAAUAUCAGAUGGUAAAUUGCCUUGCUUGGUUCAAGAUCGAUUGGUUGGUGAAUUCGUUGAAGAAAUCUCUUGUGGGGAUCAUCAUGUUGCUGUGUUGACAUCAAGAAGUGAAGUCUUCACUUGGGGAAAAGGUUCAAAUGGAAGACUAGGACAUGGAGACAAGGAAGAUCGAAAAACGCCGACAUUAGUUGAAGCUCUAAAAGAGAGGCAUGUGAAGAGUAUAUCAUGUGGCUCUAACUUCACAUCAAGCAUUUGCAUCCAUAAGUGGGUCUCAGGUGCUGAUCAGUCAGUUUGCUCUGGCUGUCGUCAAGCAUUUGGGUUUACGAAAAAGAGACAUAACUGUUAUAACUGCGGUUUAGUCCAUUGUCAUGCAUGUAGUUCCAAGAAAGCUUUGAAAGCAGCAUUAGCUCCAACUCCAGGGAAGCCACAUAGAGUAUGUGAUGCUUGUUACACAAAACUUAAAGCUGGAGAAUCUGGUUAUAACUCUAAUAUUUCUAAUAGAAACUCCACAACUCCUACGAGGUCACUAGAUGGGUCGGCAAGACCAGACAGAGAUCUAAGGACGUCAAAGAUUUUAUUGUCCCCAAAAACAGAACCAGUCAAGUAUUCUGAGGUUAGGUCAUCAAGAUCUGAAUCUUCUAUUGUCAGAGCCUCACAAGUUCCAGCUCUCCAGCAACUUAGAGAUGUUGCAUUCCCAAGCUCGCUUAGUGCAAUUCAAAAUGCCUUUAAACCCGUUGCCUCAACUUCGACGACACUUCCCUCAGGCACAAGAUCAUCAUCAAGAAGAUCGAGCCCUCCACGCAGUUCUGGAUUUUCCAGGGGCAUGGUUGAUACUUUGAAGAAAUCAAACGGUGUUAUAAACAAAGAAAUGACAAAACUGCAGAGCCAGGUUUGUAAUAUUAUCUCAAAUUCUCAGGUUUAUGACACAUUAAACUCGAUCUAACACAUUGAUAUAUACACUUUCAGAUUAAAAAUUUGAAAGAGAAAUGUGAUAAUCAAGGUACAGAGAUCCAAAGACUAAAGAAAACAGCAAGAGAAGCUUCUGAAUUAGCUGUAAAGCAUUCUUCAAAGCAUAAAGCAGCAACAGAGGUCAUGAAAUCUGUCGCUGAACAUGUAAGUUCCUUAUAAAACAUACUUACAAGAUUGUUUUUCUUGAACAAUACGUUACAAAAUGAAUCACUGUUUUAUUUAUUACAGUUGAGAGAGUUAAAAGAGAAACUACCUCCUGAAGUAUCUAGAUGUGAAGCUUUUGAAUCAAUGAAUUCUCAAGCCGAAGCCUAUCUAAAUGCGAGCGAAGCAUCUGAAUCAUCUUUACCUACAACAUCAGGUCAACAAGAACCAAAUCCUUCUGCAAACACACGCAAUCAAGAAGAACAACCAUCAUCUAGUGGAGGUAGCAUGAGGUCUCAAGAACCUUCAAACAUGGCAGAGACAUCAUCAGAAGCUUCAUCGCCGUCUAAAUCAGGAGGCAAAGAACUUAUUGAACAAUAUGAACCUGGUGUUUAUGUUACUUAUGUACUGCACAAAAACGGAGGAAAGAUCUUUAGAAGAGUUAGAUUCAGGUAUUCUUUUAAAUAACUUCAUCAAAUCAUAUAUACCUCUCUCCUCUCUAUCUAGAUUUGUGUAAAAACUGAGUUUUUUUUUUUGCAGUAAGAGAAGAUUUGAUGAGCAACAAGCAGAAGAAUGGUGGAGUAGCAAAAAAGAUAAGUUGCUUAAGAGGUAUAGUAAUAAUAAUGCUUCAACAUCAAGUCCAGCAGCUUCUGAUUCAUCAGUUCCUACACCAACUCCACCUCAACCACCAGCUUCUCCUACACAACCAAAUUCUGAUGAUCAAACAGAGGAUUCAAAAGCAGAUCCUGAAAGCUAGUAGUCAUCAUGUGUGUGUGUACAAUAUCAGUUUUGGCAAUAUAGAUUGAGAAACAAGGCAUAUCAUUGGAAUGUCACUAAUGUAGAUUCGAGUCAUCCAACAUUAUACAAAUUAAAAACUACAUAGACUUAUUGUUUUUAUUUCGACUUUUAGGCUCACCUUUUAUGUAACAAACACGUUUAAAGAUUUUUUUCUUAGUUGUGAAACAAAUCUUGAUUUAUUGUUUUAAAAAAAAUUGAAGCAUAAAGAUUAGUAAAACAUCUUCAAGAAUUAGUGGUAUUAUUGUAAUCAUUAGUCAACUCCAAAAGUCGAAAUUUUUGUUUUCUUUAUUAUUACCAGGUCAAUGGUCAACUCCAAACUUUUCUUGGAUACUUCAUUGUUCUUGAAAAGUCUUAAGCGCAAGUAGUCUUUUGUCUUUUGUCUUAUUGAAGCAAUCAUAUAAUUUCUUGGUCAUUGCUACGUGUUUUCCUAGUCGUUUCGUUGAAAUUUUUUAGUUUCGCAAUUUCUUGUAGAUUUAAACUCAAGGCAAUAACUUUUAACUCAUCACCUAUAUAUAGAAGAUCUUGCUUUUUCUAUUCUUAUAGUAAGUUUUAUUCAUUUCUGAAAAUUGAUAUUUCAAGUGCAUUAUAGAAAAUGGGGCAACAACAAUCACAGUGCAAGGAAGAGCUUCUGUUUCAGCAAGUGGGUUACAACGAUAUCGAAGCUAUCAAAUCUCUUCGCUGUGAAGGAGCAGGACUUGAGGUUCUUUAAUUUCUUCCUCUCUACAUAAUCUUUUUUUUUUUUUUGUGUUUAAAAUUUAAGUUUAUUGACCAAAUCCUCUUUAGUGUUGUUGUUGUUUUCUGAUUUUUUUUAACUUUUGGUUUUUGGAAUGCAGUGGGUGGAUAAGUUAGGGAGAACACCAUUAAUCUCAGCUUGUAUGAAGGAAGAUCUAUAUGAUGUAGCAAAAACUCUGCUUCAGUUGGGUUCUAAUGUCAAUGCUUAUCGAUCCGGUAUUGCCAUAAUCAAGAAUCUUCUUUCUCAUUUGCCCACUUUCUUGUUUUUUGCAAUGUUGGUGCUUAUACGAAUGUGGACAUUUUGUUGGUAUCAGGAGGAGGUAGCAAUAGUGGGACUCCUCUGCACCAUGCUGCAAAAAGAGGUCUUAUAAACACGGUUAAGUUACUUCUCUCUCACGGUGGUAAGUGUUUGGUUUGAUAUCUUCUUUGCCAAUUUUUAUGAUAGAAAAAUCUUUUUUCACUUAUAUUGCUGUAUUAUGUUUUUUCUCUUUGGCAGCAAAUCCACUGAUUUUGGAUGAUGAUAUUCAGACAGCUCUUGAGGUUGCUAGAGCUGAAGGUCAUUGCAGUGUUGUACGUGCAAUCGAGGUAUAUGCUUGCAUUAACACUUCUUUCGACAUUUUCUGCAGCAUGGAAUUGAGUCAUGAGGUCUAACUUUAAAACUGUUGAUUCUGUAGAAUCACAUCUGCUUGUUCUCUGGUUGGAUGCGUGAGUUUUAUGGCCCAAGCUUAGUUGAAUACUUUGCUCCUGACUAUUUUUCAAGAAGAGUGUGAGUAUCCAACUUAAACUACACCAUUUCAUUCUUUAUGUUUGUUGAACAUGAAUAUGAAUCUUCUUCCUCUUUGGAAUAUAUAUGUAUUUGCAGAUGGGUAGUUGCCGUACCAACUGGUUCAAGAAACCCUGCAAAGCCUUUCAAGUUGGAGUUGGCUGUGUAUGAUAGUCAAGAGGUACUACAAAAUUCAUCAUUUCAUCAUUGUUUGUUUCAAGUUUUGAGAUUUUAUAUUCUUAUGAAUACUCUGUUUUACAAUUUAGGAUGCAAAACCAAGGAUAGUGGUGCCAUUGUGGAAAGCCAAUAUGGAUGAACCAAAAUUAUCACAGUCUGAUGAAACAGUGAUGAUUGUUGAGAAUUGCAGAAGGCAGAGACUAGAGAGCUCAGUAGUUUCUCAGACGAGGCGUUGGGUUCAAGUCGAUAGGCGUAAGUGUACACUACUUUGUACUACUCUUUAUUCUUUAACAUUCAGUAACCAUAAAAAAAAAAUCGUCUAGUUGUUAUAAACUCAUGAGUUUCUUAUCUUUCUUUCAGAAAUAUGUCUAAAGCUGGCAGCUGAGACCAAAGGAGACAAGAAACAGCUGAACUGGUUUUGUGAGGCAUGUAAAGGAACUCCACAGGUAUAUACUUCCACAACCUCUGCUUCACCUCAGUCUGCAAUGAGCGAGAUGUCAAUGCCAAAUCAUCCUUCUAUAAAAUAUGAGGGUAAAGAAGAUAGAGCGUGUGUGAUUUGUGCGGAUGCAUCAGCUGAAGCAGCGUGUGUGCCGUGUGGACAUGUUGCUGGAUGCGUUUCUUGCUUGAAAAAGAUUAGAAACAAGAAAAUGGGAUGUCCUGUUUGUCGUGCCAACAUUGAUCAGGUCAUUAAGUUGUAUCAUGUCUGAAUAAAAAAGGACCAUCACGUAUCUCCUCAGUGGCUGGAAGAUAGUUGAACCUAUCUCCUAUUUUUUUUUUGUGUGUGGUUGUCAUAUUUUUUUGUAGUUUGUAUUAGUCAGUAUCCUACUCAACUUCCAAUGUGGCAUAUUGUAUCCCUAGUAGUUUGUAAUGAAGUCAAAGUUGUAUGUUUGUCUCUUUUAGUGUUAUGAUAUACAGUGUUUUUAGAGUCUUUCACCCUUUCUUUUAUGUCCAUUUUGAGUCGUUUAUCGUAUUUUAGUCCGUCUUUCGUGUCUUUCAAGUCGUGUUUUGAGUCUUGAGCAGGGGAUAAGCGGUUGGAGCAGAAUUGACGCGUUUUGGACCAGUUUCGGGCAAGGAAGUGGAAUUUUAGCUGAUGCAGAACAUGGACCGAUCGGUCCAUCACCCAGACCGAUCGAUCCGACCGGACGGACAUUCCAGGAACAAAACGAUCGAUCGGUCCUCACUUCCGAUCGAUCGAUCCUAUCACCCGGACAAGAUCCGGCGCCUAAAGACCGAUCGGUCCAUCUGUUAGACCGAUCGGUCCAUUCCAAUUUCGGUUUCCUUAACCGGAGUUAACUUCUAUUUUCUUCGGUAAUGGGUAUUAAAACCCAAAAAGACCUGUUUUUCAUGGUACGUUUUUCACAGCAGUUUUUCUGAGUUUAGUCUUGUAAGCAACAUCUGGGAUAGAGAUUGAUCCUCUUUGACAAUUUGGAGAAGAUUUCUAAACCUUUUUCUUAUUCUAAUCUAUUGAAUCAUGUUUCCUUUAAAAUCUAUUUGCUUUGUUUCAAUUGUUAUGUCUAAGUAGUCUCUAAAUUGGGUUUUAGGGUUUCAAGUAGGAGAAUUCAAUGAUUUGAUAGAUUAGAUGUCUUAGGGAAUUCUUAAUCAUUAGGUUCUUCAAUUUACAUGUUCUCAAUGAUAGAAUAGGAUUGAUCACCCUGUUUUAGAACUUAGGCUUUUAUGUGUUUCAGAGAUAUCUUAUGUUUCUUUUUUGUUGAAUCUUCUUUUAAAUAUAUGUUUUCGCAGAUGGGUAGUUGUCGUACCAACUGGUUCAAGAAACCCUGCAAAGCCUUUCAAGUUAGAGUUGGCUGUGUAUGAUAGUCAAAAGGUACCACAAAAUUCAUCAUUUCAUCUUUUUUUGUUUCAAGUUUUGAGAUUUUUUAUACUUAUGAUCAAUCCUCUGUUUUACAAUUUAGGAUGCAAAACCAAGGAUAGUGGUGCCACUGUGGAAAGCCAAUAUGGAUGAACCAAAAUCAUCACAGACUGAUGAAUCAGUAAUGAUUGUUGAGAAUUGCAGAAGGCAGAGACCAGAGAGCUCAGUCAUUUCUCAGACGAGGCGUUGGGUUCAAGUCGAUAGGCGUAAGUGUAAACAACUUUGUGCUACUCUUUAUUCUUUAAGAUUCAGUAACCAUAAAAACCUUUUAUACUUAAGUUUCUUUUGUUUUAAUCUCCUUUUUUUCUUUCAGAAAUAUGUCUAAAGCUGGCAGCUGAGACCAAAGGAGACAAGAAACAGCUGAACUGGUUUUGUGAGGCAUGUAAAGGAACUCCACAGGUAUAUACUUCCACAACCUCUGCUUCACCUCAGUCUGCAAUGAGCGAGAUGUCAAUGCCAAAUCAUCCUUCUGCAAAAUGUGAGGGUAAAGAAGAUAGACAGUGUGUGAUUUGUGUGGAUGCAUCAGCUGAAGCAGCGUGUGUGCCGUGUGGACAUGUUGCUGGAUGCGUUUCUUGCUUGAAAAAGAUUAAAAACAAGAAAAUGGGAUGUCCUGUCUGUCGUGCCAACAUUGAUCAGGUCAUUAAGUUGUAUCAUGUCUGAAUAAAAAAGGACCAUCAUGUAUCUCCUUUGUGGCUGGAGGAUUUUGAAUCUAUCUCCUAUUUUUCUAUGAUUGUCAUAUUUUUGAAGUUUGUAAUGAAGUCAAAGCAGUCGGAAUAUAGUGGACGCAGCAAGUGCAUGUAUUGUUUGUCUCUCUCUUUCUGUGUUACAAGCUAGUUUAAUCAGAGUUUUAUCCUCUUCAAUGUUACUUGCUUCAUGUCUCUUAGUCCAAAUAUAGAACACUUGGUACGUAAGUGUAGAUGGCAUUUAGAACAAAACUAUAAAAACCAGGUUUCGAACAUGGAUUUAGCUAAAAAUGGUAUAGAGAUAGGACCACUACACUUAUCCUUUAUCAUACUGCAUAACUAAAUUAACUAAAUUAGAUUGCAUUUCAAGAAAGACACUAAGGGGGUGUUAUUGGUUGUUUAAGUUAAAUUCAACUCUAUUAGAUUUUAAAAUUCAUAAGACUUUCAAAAUCUGUGUUCAUUGAUACUGAUUUAAUAUUAUUCAUUCUUUAAAUCAGUGGAAUUGUAUUUACACUGACACAUGAUAUCUUUUGGUUUUGAACAAUAGAAUUGAAUUCUAUAACAAAUGAUUUUACAAUUUUCAAUGAAAUUAUACCAAACUUUUAUCAUCACGUAUUUUUUUCCCAUUUCAAAUUUCUGUAGUGAAGUCUUAACAUAUCUUUUAAAGAUGAAAAUUAUUUUAUUUUUUGUUAAAGUGAUCAAAUGAAUCAUACAACAACUGUUAAAACAAAUAUACACAUUAAUUAGGGAUAAAAAAAAAAAAGACUGGGAAAAAAUGAUAAAGAGAGAUACAUAUGUGUUGGGUCAUGGGUGAAUGAGUUUGUAAAUAUUGAUAAUGUACGUGUAUUACGUUCAAUGAAACUUUUAUUAAUUUAUUAUUAGAUUGUCAAAUCUCAUGUUAGAAGAUUGGUUUUCGGAUUAACAUAAUUUACACAUGAAAUCAGUUUCAGAUUCACUCAAAGCUUUUCAAAUGAAUUCAUUUGUGAAAAUCCACCAAACUUGAAUAACAUAAGACUUUCGUUAAUAAUUGUAAGUAUAAGAACCAAUAACACUAGAUUUUAAACUCUUUUAAUGAAGAUUUUGCAAAUAUAAGAACCAAUAACACUAGAUUUUAAACUUUUUUAAUGAAGAUUUUGCAAAUAUAAGAACCAAUAACACUUGAUUUGAGUAAAGUAUUUAAAAUCAUUGAUUAAAUAACAUUAGACUUGGGUUAGAGUUAGACUCUAUUAAAAUUCAUUAUCCAAUAACACCCACUAAAAAUAGAAAUCAGUAAUAAGUGGAUUCUUGCUUUUAAGAGCUUAACAAGAUAGAUUAAUAAGAAAGCUUAUUAGUGCUUUAUUUAGUGCAAGAAAAAAUGAUAAAGAAAAGGGGAAAACACCAAACAAUGACAUUUCUCUCUAAGAAAGAGAAUUGCUUAAAAUGGUUACAGUUCAUUGUUCUCAUAACAAUCAAUUUAUACUAAUCUACUUGUAAAGAAUUCCUAAACACAUGGGUUAGUUGACACUAUAUUGGACUUAUGUUAUGAAUGCUUAAAUAAAUAAAAGAAAUUUCCCUCUCUCUUUCAUCGAUUUUUUAUAUAUAAAAUAAAUUACACCGUAUAUAUCUUACUAUUAAAUCGUAUCGUGAUAACUCAAACCCCUUAUUAAUCAUCCGUUUUUUCGAUUCUUUUUUAUUUUCAAACAAUUACAUAAGGUUUUCGUUAUUAAUUUGAAUAUAGAAUUUUAUUUGGAAAACACCACAAUAAUAUUUAAAAGCAACCACAUAUUCGAUUAUCAUUCUCGUAUAAAUGUUCUUUUAAAGUUAUAAUAAAACGAUUAUGUGACAAAAUUAUACACUUUUCUAAUAGAAAUAAUUUUGAUAAAUUCCUCUCAAUGUACAACUAAAUUCUGAAAGAUUAAUUAUGUUUUUUUUUUUGUUUUUAUUCAAUUUGCAAGCAAAAAUAAAUAAAGUGAAGGUGUUAGUUAAUAUACAAAAUUACAAACCAUCCCAAACAUGAGUUUUAAGAGUUAGAGAACGCCGACAAAAACUAGAUUGAUGGAUGAUGAUAAAAUAAGUAAAAACAUAUAAGCCGACGAAGCAAAUAACGACCUCCACCGAUCCUCUCUCUUCUUCACUUGCAGUGUCGCUGCCCAUUUUCACACAGGAGACAAAAAAAAAAGCUGGUCUUUUUCCUAAUUUAGAAGAUAGAGAGAGAAACCCAUCUCUUCUUUUAGAUCCGAGUCUCUCUCUCAAUCUCCUUGUUUCUUUCUCUCUAUCGAUUUUACAAUACACUGCUGAUUAUAUUGUCUCUCUCAAAAUCAAUUACCUUUUUUGGGUUAAUUGGGUAAGUCCCUCUUUUGAUACUUUUUCUCUGAGGCUUUCGCUCGAUUUCGUUGUUGAGAGAUACGAAUCUGUUGUUUUUGUUUGGCUGUAUGAUGCUUUUGACUGUGUCUGUCAUUGUUACUUGUCUGUUUGGAUUAUAAUAUGGUUUGAUUUGAAUUGGUAUCAGUGGAUAAUGUAUUUUUAAUGGGUCGAUCCGAGUUCUGUUUCCAUAGCACUUCUGUUUCUCACACCAGAUCUGUUCUGUUCUGUCCUAGUGGGAAAGAUUCGGACCAAAUAGUUUAUCAUACAGCACACCAAAUUCUAACUAGCCAAUGAGGAUCAACUGUUUUGUUGGUAAUUGAGUUCUUACUUAUCUACUCAAAUGCCAGAGUAUAUGUUGAUGGUUGGAUACUUGAGUUUCUUUCUCUAAGUGAUCGAUCAUUCUAAGUGAGUAGUGAGUAGUAUAACACAUUUCUGUGUUUUUUUUUGUGGUUUGGUAUUUGAAUGGUUAGAUUUGGUAUGUGUGUGCGUGCGUGUGUGUAAGUUUUGAGUUUUAUGAUAAUUUGUUUAGUAUGCUUGUCCUGAGUUUAUAAAAUUAAUCAUGAUUACAGAUACUGAUCAUUGUCUUUGUUUACAUGGAACAGAUUCAAUUUUUUGUAACUAGUGAAGAAUCAUCAAUUCUUUGUACUGGAUUCUUCACUUACUAGUAGUAGUCUCCAUCCAUUAAGCCGUAACAUUAAAUCUCCAUUUGGCUUUACCUCAAAUAAAAAGGCGAUGAGGGGAAGAUCGGAUGGAGGGCAAAAGAAGAAGGUGAUUGCUUUGGUCUGCAUUGCAGCGGUUGUCCUUGUUUUCGUUUAUCUGUUCUAUGGCUCCUCUGAUCAUAGAGCAUCAGCUAUUGAAUAUGGGAGAAAACUAGGGUUGGGUGGGGAUGAUGAUGAUACUAAACAGGACGACACUUCAAGCUCGUUUGGUCUUGACGAUGGUUUCACGCCAAGAAGUUUUCCGGUGAGCCUUUAGUAUUUUCUCAUUUCUUCUUCUUUUUUCUGUAUUGAUGAUGGUUACGUUCAAGUGGUAAAUGUUAUUGUGCAUUUUUUUUAUCUUCCUAGGUGUGCGAUGAUAGGCAUUCAGAGCUUAUUCCUUGCUUAGACAGGAAUCUCAUAUACCAAAUGAGACUGAAGCUUGAUUUGUCUUUGAUGGAGCAUUAUGAACGCCAUUGUCCUCCUGCUGAAAGACGAUUCAAUUGCUUGAUUCCUCCUCCUAAUGGAUAUAAGGUGGAAUAUAUUUUCCGGUUCUAUUGUUUUUAUAUGAUCAGUGUCUUUUCAUAACUGUUUUCUCUUCUAAUAUGUUAUAGGUUCCUAUUAAAUGGCCAAAAAGCAGAGAUGAAGUAUGGAAAGUGAACAUACCUCAUACUCACCUUGCACAUGAGAAGUCUGACCAAAACUGGAUGGUUGUCAAAGGAGACAAGAUUAACUUCCCGGGUGGUGGCACUCAUUUUCACUAUGGGGCUGAUAAGUAUAUUGCAUCAAUGGCAAAUGUAAGGCAGUUACUUGGUUUUGUAAAAAAGAGCAUAUAUUAUUUUUCAUUAGUUGAUUGUAUUUUCGGAAAUUUCAGAUGCUUAACUUUCCAAACAACAUUUUGAACAAUGGUGGAAGGCUAAGGACAGUUUUCGAUGUUGGUUGUGGUGUUGCGAGUUUUGGAGGUUAUCUUCUAUCUUCGGAUAUCUUGGCAAUGUCCUUGGCUCCAAAUGAUGUGCAUCAGAACCAAAUCCAAUUUGCUCUUGAGAGAGGGAUUCCUGCUUCCCUUGGUGUGUUAGGGACAAAGAGGCUUCCAUACCCAAGCAGAUCUUUUGAACUUGCUCACUGUUCGCGUUGCAGAAUCGAUUGGCUUCAAAGAGAUGGGAUUCUUCUUCUUGAGCUAGACAGAGUACUCAGGCCUGGUGGUUAUUUUGCAUAUUCAUCUCCAGAGGCUUAUGCACAAGAUGAGGAGGACCGUAGAAUCUGGAGAGAAAUGAGUGCUCUUGUAGAGCGUAUGUGUUGGAAGAUAGCGGCAAAAAGGAACCAAACUGUUAUUUGGCAGAAACCUUUGACAAAUGAUUGUUAUCUUGAAAGAGAGCCUGGAACACAGCCUCCUCUUUGCCGUUCUGAUAGUGAUCCUGAUGCUGUGUGGGGUGUAAACAUGGAAGCCUGCAUUACUCCUUACAGCGACCGUAAGUUUUCAGGAAUCUCCGCAAUAACAGUGUUUAUUUUCCUCGUUUGUGAUAGCAAACUCAAAACAGAUUCCCACUGAACUCUUUUUUGGGUUUACUUUAGAUGACCACAAAACCAAGGGAAGUGGAUUAGCUCCAUGGCCAGCUCGGUUAACCUCUCCUCCUCCUAGGCUUGCUGAUUUUGGAUAUUCAACCGGCAUGUUUGAGAAAGACACGGUAUAUAAAAAAACCAUAAGUUCUGUUUAUUGAAACGGACAAGGUAAGAACAUGGGCUAAUUAGUCACUCACAUCAUAUGUUUCUCAUUUGUAAAGGAACUUUGGAGGCAGAGGGUAGAUAGUUAUUGGGAUCUCUUGAGUCCUCGAAUCGAAUCAAAUACAGUGAGGAACAUAAUGGACAUGAAAGCAAGCAUGGGCUCCUUUGCUGCUGCUCUGAAAGAAAAAGAUGUAUGGGUAAUGAAUGUUGUCCCCGAGGAUGGACCGAACACGCUUAAACUGAUCUAUGACAGAGGGUUAAUGGGCGCGAUCCAUAGCUGGUAAGUUUGUCUAUCUAAUCAAAAUGACACAUUGCUUCUACCCAGAAUCUGAAAUCUUUAGCAUGUUUUUCGGUUUUAAAUCAUUCGUUUUCAACGUUCCACAGGUGCGAAGCAUUCUCGACAUAUCCAAGGACAUAUGAUCUCCUCCAUGCUUGGGACAUUCUAUCUGAUAUCCAUAAAAAAGGGUGCAGUGAAGUGGAUUUGUUACUGGAGAUGGAUAGAAUACUGCGCCCGAGCGGGUUUAUAAUCAUAAGGGAUAAACAAAGAGUGGUGGAUUUGGUGAAGAAGUAUCUUAAAGCUUUGCAUUGGGAGGAAGUAGCGAAGACUGAUUCAGAUUCAGAUCAAGAUUCAGACAAUGUUGUAUUCAUUGUCCAGAAAAAGCUGUGGUUGACUAGUGACAGCCUUAGAGAUAUGGAGUGAUGAAGCCACACAAAAUACAGAGACAUUACGACCAAAUGAAUCAUCAUACAACCAAGAAAUUUCAUUAUUGUAGCAAACAUUUAUUAACGUUGUUUUGUUUUUUUUUUUUUAUAACUAUUGUUCUUUCUUACAUUCUUAUUAAUAUUGUUUGUAUGAUUUGGUAGAGAAGAAGCUAUAAAUUUGUAAAACAGAUUGCGUAGUUUGGUGUUGACACCGUAGCGAUGUUGUCGUUGUUGGAAGAAAUCGUAGGUUAUGUCCUAAGCAAAAAUGGAACGGUAACAAAACUAAUAAAGAGACUAACCAAAACAAUCUAACAAUGAGUAGAUAUAAUUACUAACGAUUUUAAACAUUUUACUACACAUUAUGCAAUAAUGUAUAUUGCAAUUUUUUCUUUCUUUCUUUCUUUAUAAGUUACUCAACGAUCACAAAACUUUCUCAAAACAAACCAUGACGAAUAUCAAGAAUAUAUAUAUACAGUAUAACCUCUAUAAAUUAAUACUCGAUAAAUUAAUACCUCGAUAAAUCAAUAAUUUUUUUCGGUCCCAAAUUAGUUUUUCGGUUCAAUUAGUAUAUCGAUAAAUUAAUAAUCACGAUAAAUUAAUAAAAAUUUUAAAAAUACAUAGGUCCCAACAUUAUUAAUUUAUAGAGGUUUUACUGUAUAUAUAUAUAAGUGAAUUUGUUUGAUUAAUAUGCAUGGCUAUAAAAGAUUAAUACUAAAAGUUAUACAAGAAGUCUCUUACAACAAAUUUUUAGUAAAUAAAGGAAAUAAGUAUAUCUAGAAAAUCAUAUUAAACCUCUCAAAAAUGAAAAUGUUAUGCAGAAAAAAGAAGAAGAAAACAAUGGUAUGAAUGAAGUUGGACUUUAGAUGUGCCACCAAAUCAGUAGCACAUUAUUGUGGAAAAUAAAAGUCAGUUUUUACUUAUUGUUGGGAAACAGUUCAUUUAAUUCUUCAAUAUUUUUUUGUACUUCAUAGAUUAAUUCCUCAACUAUUACAUAUACAUAUUGUUUUCUAAAAGUUGUUACUGACUUAAUAAAAUUUAGGUUUAAGAAAAAUUAGCGUGAAGCUAACAAUACCGACGAGAAGCAUGAAAAACCCAUAAAAUCUCUAAAUCAUAAAAAAAGUACUCUAAACGAUUUUCGACAACUCGAAUUCAGUGAUGAAAAAAAAAUCAUUGCCACAAACUCGCUAGUGUUUAUAUAUUAAUUCUAGAAAUUAUGUUUAAGAAAUUAAUUGAUAUAAUCAUUUAAUUGGAGAAAAGUUUAGCGGUUAUAAGUUUUAGUUUUCUUUUCUUUAAAAUAAUAAAUUUUAUUAAAAGUCAACAAAUAAUUUUUAAAAAUAGUGUACAAAUUAAUAUAUUUGUAAUAACUCAAGAAUUAGAUAUAUGAAAAGAAAGAAAAAAAACUUUUAAUAAAAACACCAAUAAGUUAAACAAUUAAUAGUACAUGCCAUAGUUGGAAAUUAAUAUGUUUGUAAUAACUCAAGAAUUAAAUGAGUUAUUUUUUCUCAACCCAAUUUCUUGUCUCAUCAAUUUUUAUUUUUAUUUAUAUAAAAUAAAAAAUAAAAUAAGAAAACUAAAAAAGAGAUGUCAAUAAGUUUGACAUUUAUUCUUUGGCUUUUGACAUUGCCAUCGAACAUAUUUCCCGUGGUGGAGUCCACGCGGUUAUAAUAAAGCCUCUCUCUCUCUCUCCUCUCUCUUCUCUCUCUUCUCUCUCUUCUCUCUACAACAACAUACAUAAACUUAUUAAUAAUAUUAAUUUCACUUUCUUUCGCCUAUUUUAAAAUCCAAUUCCAUUCGUUUAGUAAAUGAUGAACCAAUUAAACCCUUAAUUUACGCUAAUCAGUCUUUAGUAACUAACAAUACAAAAUAAAUACAUUAAUCUCAGUAGUAAACAAAUAAGAGAGAGAGAAAGAAAACAUAAAAAAACGAACUGAGAAAGAAGAAGAAGAAGAGUAGUACCUCAUUACUCUCUUUGCAAAAUUCACACACAUCGAAAGAAACAGAGAUUGUAAUAAAGUUUCAAACUUUUUUCUUCGAUCUCCAAAUUUUUUGAAAACAGAAGAAGACGAAGAAAGAAACAAGAGCAAGAAUUGAGGAAUCGAAUCCCAAGAAUCGAGGUCUUCUUCUUCUCUUCUCCUCUUUCACUUUAUAUAUUUUUUAAAUUUUCUUUCUUUCUUUUCUCUCUCACCACAAAUUACGGGUCUCUGUCUUUGUGUCUGCGUUUUUGUCUCUCACCAUGUUGUCUUGUUUUCUUAAAAAUUCCUAAUCUAACUUCUUCUUCUUCAUUGCAAAGCUUCUUCCUUUGAGAUCGACCUUCUUUGUUGAUUUGCGGUUUUGUUGCAUUCAUUCUUCUUCGCUGACUCUGAAGAAGAAACAAAAAAAACUAGGGUUUCUUGUUUGAUUUCUUCUUAUUAUUCCCCCCAAAUUUGGUGUGCAUUUGCUAUUUCAGAUCUAUUAGGUUUGUGUUCUUCUUUUAAAUGAUCGUGAAAUUGACUUAUUGUUUCUUUCUUAGUACUAAUCUAUGGAGAAUUCUGUAAUGUUAGAUUCAUAUAUGUAUUUUGAUUUCGGGUUUAAGUAGAUUAGGUGUGAUAUAAAGUUUUCACCUUUAAGCUCGUUUUGUUUAUUUCUGGAUACCAACUUCACUGCUUUGUUAUGACUCUGCAAAGCAGUUGAAUUGCUCUGAGUUUCCUAUUCAAUGUUUGGAGUUUCUACAAUCAUUCUUAUUACUAGCAAAAUGCUUCUGUUGAUCUGCUGUUGGAGUCAGUGUUAAUUAAUAUAUAUGUCAUUAUGUUGCAGGUGUGAAAUCUAAUCACUAGGUGCAUGAUAUAUGAAAACUGAUAUUACAUAAUUGGAGUGGGACUAGUGCUCUGCGCUUAUCAUACUGUCUGGUCACUUGUACAUAAAGUACCUAACUCAAUAUCUGGUUUGGAAGGGGGAAGCUAAAGGGGGAGAGAAAUGGAGACUGCCAAAGCUUGGCUGAAUAAGUUAAAAGCUAAAGACAAAGUGAAAUCCUCUAAAAAGAAGGAAACCACGAGUAAUGUAAAGGAAGGACCCAAAACAGCUGGAGGGGAAGAAGCACUUUCAAAUGUAACCAAGGAGAAGGCUGCUGCUGCUAAACUGUAUAUUGAAAAUCAUUACAAAAUGCAAAUGCAGAGUCUGCAGGAAAGAAAGGAGCGGUAUGGUUUCAUUACAUGCAUUUUCUGCGAGAAAAACUUCCAUCCAUAUCCUUAGCUCAUCUCUUGGUAAUUACUCUUCAUGCAGACGCAAAAUGCUAGAGAAAAAAUUAGCUGCUGCAGAAGUCUCUGAGGAAGAGCAGAACAACUUGUUAAAGGAUUUGGAGAUGAAGGAAACUGAAUACAUGCGCCGUCAGAGGCAUAAAAUGGGAGCUGAUGACUUCGAGCCAUUGACGAUGAUUGGGAAGGGUGCAUUCGGAGAGGUAGCAUUGCUUCAUCUUUUAAAGAUCAUAUUCCGUUUCUUGGCCUUUAAUUGGCAUGUACCUACUACGUACAUCGUUUUGAAGUUCUCUGUGAUGCAUCAUGCGUCCUUCUUGAAAGUUCUUAUGGUAUUUUUGGGCUGCAGCUUAGUAAGCUUUGCAUGCUAAUAUUAAUCUCCCUCUUUGCAGGUGAGGAUAUGUAGAGAGAAGGGAACAGGCAAUGUCUAUGCAAUGAAGAAGCUUAAAAAAUCUGAGAUGCUUCGCAGAGGCCAGGUAUUGAAAUUCUUCCAAGUGGCGUUUGAUUGAGUUUUGUUUGGUUUGUUAAUGUAUUUCUUGAAUAUGAUUUCAGGUGGAACAUGUAAAAGCAGAGAGGAAUUUACUUGCAGAAGUUGACAGCAAUUGCAUUGUCAAAUUGUAUUGUUCUUUUCAAGAUGAGGAGUACUUGUAUCUCAUAAUGGAGUAUCUACCUGGCGGUGAUAUGAUGACUUUACUUAUGAGGAAAGACACCCUUACUGAAGAUGAGGCCAGGUUUUAUAUUGGGGAAACUGUCCUGGCUAUUGAGUCCAUUCAUAAGCAUAACUAUAUCCACAGGUCAGUGAAGCAGGAUAUAGUAGUAGCUCUAUUUGUUAAAUGUCCUGGCUAUUGCGUCCAUUCAUAUGAUUUAGUUGUAUCUCCUUUACUUUGUUCUUUACAUCAUUUUUGUGAUACAGAGAUAUCAAGCCUGACAAUCUGCUGCUUGACAAAGACGGCCACAUGAAACUGUCAGAUUUUGGAUUAUGUAAACCAUUAGACUGUAGUAAUCUUCAGGAGAAAGACUUCACAGUUGCUAGAAACGUUAGCGGUGCUUUACAAAGUGAUGGUCGGCCUGUGGCUACAAGACGUACUCAACAAGAGCAACUACUAAACUGGCAGAGAAAUAGAAGGAUGCUUGUAAGUUUAACUUAUUUAUGCUCUCUUUUUUUCAGAGCACACUAUCCAGUAUGUUUCGUUCGUUUAAAAAAUGGUCUCUCCAUUGAUAUAGAUAUUUGUGUUAGAUUUAACUUAUUAGGUCAAGGUUAUUGCUUUCAGGCUUAUUCCACAGUUGGAACUCCUGACUAUAUUGCCCCAGAAGUUCUGCUGAAAAAAGGAUAUGGAAUGGAAUGUGAUUGGUAGGUGAAGCCAACCUAUUUUAAUUUGUUACCUUUGGUUGCGUUGGUGCAUAUAAUUAAUAUAGAUGAAUAAUCUUGAGAGCUUUGUUUUAGGUGGUCUCUUGGCGCCAUUAUGUAUGAAAUGCUUGUGGGGUUUCCGCCAUUUUACUCAGAUGAUCCAAUGACAACUUGUAGGAAGGUAAUUACUUAAUCCAUUUCCUUUGUGGUCAUUUAAUUUUAAUAGUGGAAGCAGCCUGGCGAUUUCAAGUCAUGCAUUCAAUGUUAGUCUCUCUGUAUCUCUUUGGUAAUUCUCUUUUGAUUAUGGUCACCCUUAUGCAGAUAGUAAAUUGGAGAAAUUACUUGAAAUUCCCAGAUGAGGUUAGACUAUCACCAGAAGCCAAAGAUCUUAUUUGCAGGCUUUUAUGCAAUGUUGAGCAAAGGCUUGGAACAAAAGGAGCAGAUGAAAUUAAGGUGUUGUGUACUUUGUUCAACUUUGAGAUUUGAAGUUCCCUUAUCCAAGAUUAUUGUGACAAAUCCUAAUCAAAGAUUUGACUGGUUUCUUUCAGAGUCACCCUUGGUUCAGAGGUACCGAAUGGGGGAAAUUGUACCAAAUGAAAGCUGCCUUUAUUCCCCAAGUCAAUGAUGAGUUGGAUACCCAAAAUUUUGAGAAAUUUGAAGAGGUAACAUACUGAUACUAUCAGCUAUUGAAAUAUUGGUGCAAUAUUUUCCACUCAUGAUGUGUCUUGAUGUAUUAUGUAUAUACUGAUAUAUUGGUGCCACAGAUGAUUUGUGUGUUCCUGAUAAGGAAAAUAAUAUAUACUCUUCUUUUGAUUCCUUCUGGAACAGACUGACAAGCAAGUUCCAAAGUCGGCAAGGUCGGGUCCAUGGAGAAAGGUAAAUCAAAAGCACUGACUUUUGGCAUUAUGUACCAUCAGGUUUAACCGCCUUAGGUUUUUUAACUUAUCCAGUAGAUAAGUAAUCAUACUUCAACAAAUUUCUAUAUAUGGGUUACCCGGGAUAUGUUGUUUUGUGAUGAUAUUAUAGACACCGCCUAAAAGAUUACAUGCAAUAACGAGCUCUGAAUUUUCUCAGUCUGUCCCAAGUGUUUAUGUCUUAGAAAUAUGUAUAAAUUAGCAUCUGAGUGCUGCCUGUUGUUGUACGAUCUUCCAGUCAAUUUUGUUCACCUACAAAACAAAGCAUAUUUCACUCUUUUUAUCCAAAUUUCUUUAUUGGAAUUUAGAACUUGGACGAACUGCUUGGUAUGCUAUUAAUCUGCCAAUGGGGCACGUUGACCUGUGUUUGAUGAAACUCAUAUCUAUUAGAGGCAACAUGAGACAAAUAAGAACCUGUCAUUGGAAUCUGUGUCAUGAACCAAAAGGAAGCAUUUAAAGUGAUAGUUUUUGUGCUGUCUUGAGCUUUCAUAACAUGUGUUUGGCUUUCUUUUUUCUUCUCCAGAUGCUCUCAUCCAAGGACAUUAACUUUGUCGGUUAUACUUACAAGAACGUAGAAAUCGUAAAUGAUGACCAAUUACCAGGGAUAGGUAUCUCACUUAACCCCCUUCCUUUGCGGAGGAAGAAGCAACAGAACUAGAUUGCAUUAUGAUUACCAUUGCUCGUUGGCUGCAUUUGUAAUCAGUUUUUUUUGUGUGCAGCCGAGCUAAAGAAGAAGAGCAAUAAGCCAAAGCGGCCAUCGAUUAAAUCCCUCUUUGGUAAAUCAUCUGUUUGCCUGCUAUAUACAUAAAAUCAAGAUGUUUGAUUCUCUCUAACCAAAUUGUGGAAAAUAAAUGAACAGAAGAUGAAUCAACUGGUGGGACAACAACCCGCCAAGGAAGCUUCUUGAAUCUAUUACCGACGCAGAUUGAAGAACCAGAGAAAGAAGGUAGUAAAUCAAGCUCAUCCGGGUGAUUACAUUUGACAAACUGCACAGCCUGAACCAGAGAAAGACUCUUCUUAUAUAACUUGUGUGUUGUUGAUUUCGUUGAAAGCCUUGUGUUUGCUCCAAAAAGACUGUUAAAAGUUUGAGUUAGCAGAUGGGGUUUCAACAAAAGUACAGUCUCUCCAAUGGAAAUGGAAGCGAAGGCUCUCCAUGAGGAGAAAAAGAUUGGUUUGUUUAAUUGUUUCAACAUAGAAAAAAUGAAGUAAAUAUUCUUCUCGAGGAAUUGGGUUGGUUUAAUUUAUUUUCACAGGUAGGGUAUUUGAUUUUAUUUAUUUGGUUGCUUUUUGUUAAUCAAAGCUUGGUUGUACUAUAAACCCUACUCAAGAUGAAAUCUUCACCCACUAAUGCUAAUGAGUAAUGACCAAAGUCUUGUUGUCUCUCUUCCUACCUUUGCUCACUUGUAUGAUAAGGACUAGGUUUUAACCCGCGGUUUUAAUAUUAUAAGAAGAUGUUUUAUUAUUACAAAGGUCUCAGUGCUUACAAGCGUAUAUUGGUUCUCAGCCAUACAAGAGUUACCAACACAAGCAUACUUAUUUGGCUGUCUCUUCUUGAACACAUAAACAUGGUUUGUACUCAUCUUCUCCUUAGCAAUCAGAACCUUGUCACUGCCAUCAAUAGUGAGGUAUCGGCCCUGAUCAUAAGGACAUUCUCCAAGCCCUGUCAGAACUUUCUCCGAGUUCCGAAACAAGGUACAAUAACUAGACCAGAACAUGAUGGGAACUUAGCAAAAAAAAGUCAAACAAAGACGAUAAUAUGGCUACUACCAGAACAGUAUAGUAGAUGGAUGCAGCUUGUUAAAUCUUGCAGAAAAACUAAGCAUGCGCACCUUCCCAAUGAAGCUUUGGUAAAAUCCAGUGCCCCGUGUGACUUCCUCACCACCAUCAUGCCCUUUCUUAAUAACUCUCUAAAGUUGACACCAAGGCCACCACCUCUGUUUUGUGCUUCCACCAUUCUGCAAACCCCACUAGUUGCCAGCAAGUCUCCCUUCGUAUGACCACUGCGGACCAGAGUUAGCACAUUGAGAAACACCUACCACAUGCAUUAGUAUGUACAAACUCCUUCUUAGCAACAAAUCUUACAGCACUUUGUUAUUUAGCUUAGCAUACAAUUUGCUUUUUGCCCAAUCUUAAGAAAAUAUUGUUUUGGUUUAGACAGAGGAAGAGAAACAGAAGAAACCUACAAAUCAUAGCUAUGGUAGAAAGAGAUUUUCAGCUAGUUCAAAAAUCAAUUCUUCUUAAAAAUGAUAAAGAAAAGGAAAUUAAAGAACUUGCUCUUUGCUUAUAUUGGAACACAGAUAUUAUUAGAUGAUAAUCAAAGUUUCAUCAACACAUAAAAUCCAAGGCCUUAAUUUGUCUUCAGACUACAUUUUGGAACAAAUUAACACAACUACAAUCAUGCCAAUGCCCUCCUUUGAAAACUCCCUUCACGGUCGACGAAAUCAGAUUUCCGCUUGUUAUCAGGAGGAGCUUGAGAGCUUCCUCCUCCAUCAUCGAAUAGGAGAGUCAAAUCCUUGGCAACGAAAUUUUCAUCAAGAUUAUCCAUCCAAUCUGGUUCAGCAUCGGAUAAACUAACAGCGUAUCUCUUAUAAUACAAACCCAUAAAAGCUAAACUCACUUCUGAAUCAUCCAUGUUUUUUGAGAGUACAAUCACAUUUCCUGGUGAAGGAUUUUCUAUCCCCCAUAGGUACAUGUCCAAUAACAUGGAGUAAAUCCCCGCAUGCUCGUCGUCUUCGGGUAAGGUACCGGUUUUGAUUCCUGCAUCGGAAAAUUUACGAAGCAAUCCAUCAUCAUCCGAGAACCUACUCUCCUUACCGUAAAACUGGAUUGACACAUGCCCACACAAGUUCAUAGCUUUGACUUCUGAUUUGAUUUUCUCUUCCACUGAACGAGGUUCAAGAUCGUAAGGGAUUGGGUAAUCUUCCACGUUCCAAAACACGCAUGUGUUAGAAUCUGCCAACGGACAACAAGUAAUCAAUGACAGAUCGAUCAGAUCAAAGCUAAUCCAGAUCAUAGAAAAACCAUAUCGACUAAGAGAUAUAUAAAGAGAGAGAGAGAGAGCGAGAUCUUACCACUGUAUAGUCUGAACACUUCAGACAUGGUUUCGUUAGAAAAAAGCAGAUGAACAGAUAUGGUUGCUUAAAAAAGGGUCGGAACUUUAUAUUAGUUGACGGAACCCUAAAUUGAGAUUAUAGAUAUUUAUGGGUUAUUUGCACGUCAAGUCACUUUCCAUAAAGAUAUUGCCAAUUAAGUCACUUUGUAAAGUGCCGUCUGACACAGAGAAAAUAUGGGACGAAGACCUAUCGUAUACUACAAUUAUUUGUAAAGUUCCAUCAACAUUUUCAGCCUUGCGUCUCUCUCAAAAAUAAGUUCUACAAUUAUUUUUCCCCACAACAAAAGUUCGAAACUUUUUUCCCCGUUUAAUUAAAGUUUGAAACCGAUUUACACAUGAAGUUGGGUUAAUGUUGGUUUAUUGUAAACCAAUCUCGUCUUAACCAUUUAAAAGAAAACAAAACCUAUACUACACCAACUAGGUUCGGAUCCGCGCUACAGCGCGGAGGAAUGUUUUCGGGUUUAUUUUAGUAUCGAUAAUUAUUAUUUCAAAAUAUUUAUUUAGUUUCAAUUCUUUGGAAAAAUGUGUAUUCAGAAAUGAAAUACAGUAUUUAAAUAAAACAAAUAAAAGAACGUAUAUUAAACAAAUUACAAACUCACAAUGUAUAUUGUAACGAAUCAAUCCGUAAAGACCCGUGUAUUUUUAUAAAGAAUCAUGAAAAAUGAGUAAUUAUUUGAAAAAUAAAAGUAUAAUUAAAUAAAUAUAAUUGAAUCAUGACAUAAAAUGGGUAUAAUUACUACAAAAUGAGAAAAUUUAAAACCCUAUAAUAUAGGAGUAUAGUUAGCUUUUAAAUUUGAAAUAAAAGUUACGUCAUAAAAUAUACUCUUAUGAAAUAUAGUGAUUUAGUUUAUGAUAACAAUCGUAAUAUAAUCUUAUGAAAUAUAGUGAUUUAGUUUAUAUAAAAUAAAGAAUAUUUAAUGUUUAAUAUUCAGCUAAAUUUUUUAAUUUUAUUUUUUAUUUUCAAAAGUACUUAAAAAUAAGUAGUAUUUUUAAAAACAAUAAAUUUGAUUAAAUAGUUAUUAUUAUUGCUUCCCAAAUAAUAGUAAUGAUAAUUUAUGUAAUAUUUUUCUUCCCAAAAAAGAAAUUCUGAGACAUUGUCGAAGAAGAGAUGGAAGCUUAAUAUGUGACUGUCGAAGGUAUUUGUAGUCUACGGUGAAGAAUGCAAACAUAUAUAUAUAUAUUGCUUGAAAUAUUCUAAAUAAGAAAUUAAAAUAUACCUAUUUCCAUAAGUUAUGAAAUCGUAUUAAAUUCGAAUUUCUAAACUUUAAUAUUAUAUAGAAAUUAAUUGUAUCAAUGAUUAAGAAUAUAAUCGCAAAAGUUACGGUAAUGUAACCAUAUAAGGAUAGUAGUUAAAGAUUUUGUUGGUUAGCUAUUUUUUUGGUAAUUAUUUAACAUAUACAGUUAUUAUAGUAUCUUAUGGCUAAGUUAGUGGAUUCUAAGUGAAGAUCUUUGAUUUUAUAGUACCGAAACAUUUGUUAACAGGCUGUUUAAUACUCUUUUAAAUACUCUUUUAAUACUCUUUUAAGUGGUCCGAUUAUUUAACUAUCCACUAAAUUCUAAUCGGGUUGUUUUGCUAAAUUUUCCCCAAAUAACCCGACUCAUGAAUUUUUUGUACUCCUAUUUUACUAAUAUAGAGAUUUACUUAAACCUAACCUAAUUAAAAGCAAAAAAAAAAAACAAAAUUAAAACCAUUAAAAAAAUAGAUUAUAGAAACAUUUUAUUAAGGAAAUUUUAUAUUUCGGUUAGGGUUUAGAUUUUAUACAUAAACAAAAUUGUAUUUCGGUUUGGGUUGACAAAAUAGUGGUCAGGAUUUAGAUUUUGUAAUUAAACGAAAUUAUAUUUCGGUUUGGAUUGACAAAACAGUGUUUAGAGUUUAGAUCUUGUAACUAAAACGAAAUUAUAUUUCUGUUUGGGUUGAUAACAUAGUGGUUAGAGUUUAGAUUUUGUAAUUAAACGAAAUUAUAUUUCGGUUUGGGUUUAUAAAAGAGUGAUUAUAUUAUACAAAUUUUGUUUCCAUAAUCUAUUUUGUUUUAAUGAUUUUAGUUUUAAUUUAUUUUUAUAUAUAGUAUGACGCGACAAAUUACUUCAUUUUAAUUGGUUAAUCUAAGUGAAUGAGGAGGGGGUGAACCCAAAGUAUUGCUCGUAGUUGCACCUAAACCUAAAAUUUCACAAAGGUCUCUCGCCCUCUUCUCAUCGAAGCUAUUGCCAGCCGCGUCAAAACCAUGUCCCAGCCCACCAGCGAAAGAUUUUUCCCACCCCCUACCACUAGACUCGACGGGAGUAAGUUGCAUCUCUUGCUUGAACUUGUUCGUCUAUGAUCUGGUUUAGAUUUCAUCUCUAUCAGUUACUUUUAAAUGGAUCUUGUCUUCUGAUGUUUGGCAAUAGUGGUUUGUUUUUAAUCGUUAUCCGUUUUGUGAAACUUCACAGGUCGUUUAACGAUGGUCUACUGGGUCAUCGAUGAUGGCCCAAUCCCUUCACUUUACGAGAUUUGGAAGGCAUACGAUAAAAUCGGAUCAUACCUCGCCCAUGUGGAGGAGUUUCGUGGGGGAUCGAAACUCGAGGUUUACUUUCUUAAACCAGCCAAGGUAUUGCCCAAAGAAUAUUGGGAUCAUUAUGAAGAAUUUAUGAGAAUCAAGAAUGGUAAAGAAGGUGAAUCCUUCUACUUUAAACCCGCUUUUCCCUUUUAUAUCACCUAUAUAACUUGGUUAGUGUGUAUUCUAUUGCAGUCGCUUGUCCCCUUUAUAUAUCACCUAUAUGACUUGGUUAGUGUAUUCUAUUGCAGGUAAAGGUGUGAGAUUUGAAAGGAUGUUACUUGACAUUCUUGUAUGGUCGUUGCUGGAGAAACGUAAUUAUCUGAUAAUCUCAAGUAACAAAGACUUUGGACACGGCACCAAGUUCAACACAGUACGUGAUACUUUAAAGGAGAAGGGUAUCACUGUUACUGUAGCACAUCCUGAUUUUUUCAUAAACCUUGAUCCCUCAUUCUUUGAUCAGUUUGGCAUCCCCUGAAAUAGUUCCCAAGUUUACAUUUACCCUAUACAAAAUAAGGCUAUUCAGGUUCCAUCUUUUUUUUAAGAAGAAUAAGAAACAUUAGAAGCAGGGGAAAGAGGAUCACAAGACUUCCAUUAGUUGCUUCACUUCAGUUUCAGUGAGUCUAGAGCCAAGUUUAGUCAGCCUGGUUUUCAAUUCUUGGUAAGUAAUUGUGCCCGCUUUUUUCGAUAUCCAUACUCAGCAAACAUUGUUUUUAAGACCUUUAAUUUCCUCUUCCGAGAGAUUCUCUGCAAUAACAUGCAAACCAAAAUCAGAAACACAACCUAUGAUUAAGCAAAACAAAAGAGAAUUAAUGUCUUACUUGCAAAAGAAGCAUUUGUAAUAUUUUACCUUAAGAGCUAGCUUCUUAAGUUUGUUCAUUGCUUGGAAUUGCUUCAUCCGAAAUAACACCGCGCUAUCAAUAGGCUUGUCCGGUGCUUCUCCUCCUCUGAUCCAAGGAUGUUCUGAGCAAGAAAAAAAAAGAAAACCACAAGGAUCACUACGGAUUAGUAAAGCACUACUACAAAACAGCACUUAGAGAGACCAAAGGGACUUUACCAAGAGCUUGUGCGGCUGAGAUUCAUUUUUGAGGGUCACUACCAAACUUAUACAGAGUUAUUUUUUACCCCACCCAACAACUGUCAUAGGUUAAGUUUUUAUGUUGAGUUGUUGACACAUGAGAAAUUUUUACUAAAAUCGUCACGUAAUUGGGAGCCAGCCAAAACAUUAUAAAGAAAUUAAUAUGAAAAUAUAUCAUACAUACACCCUUCGGAAGAAAUAUCGAACACGUUAGACUUUUUAGUUUUGUUACAAAAAAUUCAUAAAUUUCGUUUCAUUUUACAAAGCUACGCCCAAGAGAGAGAAUCCGACCGUUCAACUUCAGAGAGCAAGGCUCCUCACUUGUCUGAACUCCUUAGUCUUUGCCUUUAGCCGACUUCAGGUGUACAAUAAGCAUCUGUGGCGCAAUUGCCAUUGACAUAUAAGCUCAUGCAAGAGCAAGAACAAUUUGAAUGUAUACUUGUUAAGUGAACAAAGUACUUGCAGUUACAAGUUUUCAAUGUACUUUGCUCAAUAUUAAAAAAAAAACACAAGAAAAGAGACAAUAAGUGUACCAUGAGAGUGUUGAACUUGGGUUUAGGGGUGUCAAAAAGCUGAAGAAAACAAAUUUCGAUUUAAACCAUUCCAACUCUUAUUUUGUUGUUGUUAUAGAUCAUUAAUUGAUGUAUCCUACUAUAUUAAUUGGAAAUACACAAAUAAAAACAACCUUAUAUAUUGUAAGAAUUUACAUUGAAAUGCCAUUAGAAAAAGUUUUAAAAAAUAAUAAUAAUAAUAAUAUAAAGAUAAUUAUAAAAAUAAUCAAAUGAAUUAAAUACGUAAAAUCGCAAUAUAAUCGCAAGUACUAGUUUUUAACCCGUGGUACACCGCGGGACGAUAUUUUAAAAUGUAUUUUUUAAAAAAAAAAUUGUAUGGUAUAUAAGAUUGUACUAGUGUAUUUUGUUAGUUAAUUGAUUAAUUAUAUUAUUUAAUUCGUGUAUUGCAUGAUUACUUAUUUUUAUAUAAUCGUAAUUUGAUUAACUUAAUUAAAUAAAUCUAAUAAUCAAAACAAUGAAAUGAUGUUGGCAUAACAUCUUUCGUUUAAAUAGUCUAAUUUUAUAUUAAUUUUUCUUGUGAGCUUGACUAUAAUAGACAACCCGUAAAAACAUAUAUAAUUAUAGUUAUGUAAUUUAUAACCCGUUUCAUCACAUGACCUACACAUUUAUCAAUAAUACUUUAGUACAUACAUUUUUGUAUUGAUUGAGUAAUAUAUGUCCGUUUUCAAAAAUUCGAUUUGCAACAUAUGCAGAAAAAAUAUAUUUUUACUAUACAUAUGUUUAGAACGAUUAAAGAUUCUUGCAUGGUGUUGUGGUCAGCGGACGAUGAUUAAUAGACAAUGGAACUGUGCGCGUCGCGCUACCAAAUUGGUCGAUACACCGACAAAUAGAAACUAUGCACGUCGCGAGACCAAAUUGGUCGAUACACCAACAAUGAAUUCACAACAUUAUGUGAAGAACUCAAUGAAAUUUUGCGCCUCCUUGAAAAAAAGGAAAUCAAAAUCAACGACUCUAUAAAUUACAUUGUAAAGCUAGACAAAAGAAAUCAAAAUCAAUGCCAUACAAUAAAUAUUACACAACUUCUUACUACGAGCUGUCCAAACGACAAGAAAACAACGCGUGUGACAAAUAGACGAAUAGGAGCAAAAAGCAUAUGUCACUAAAACCGAAAGCCACUUCCUCAACAUCUUAUGUAAUCUUUAGUAUGUAAUAACAUCACCUAGUCAAUAAUGCAAGCCAACAAUUAUACACUAUAGUAUACGUUGAUGACACAAUUCAAAGGAUGGAUAGAUAAAUCAUAUAGUCAAAUUUGAUAUUAAUAUAUAUACACUAAUUACGCUGCGAUGUGGACACGAACACGCAUAACAUCUAUUAGAUAUCAUCCGUACAACUAAACUAUAAGAGAAUGUCCAAUGCAUCAUAACUUGUACUUUUUAUAAUUACAAUAAUGCUAAAAAAUUUGUUUACAACUUUAGUAUUGGAGAUGAUCUAAGCUUACUUACUUUACUAAUUAGAUAACUUUUCUUAUUCCUUUUGACUUCUUUUGUCUAGCUUUUCAUUGGCCAUCAUUAUAGUUUAACACUAUACCGAAAGUUUCACAAAAUAUUAUAAAACCUUGUAAGUGAUUGUAUACAAUUAUUAAUAAGUUUUGUUUUGCCAUAUGAAAAUAUGACUAGACUCAAGAUGAAUGGACCCAAAACAACAUUUGUUCCAAAAUUUUCUAUAGUAAUUAAAAAAAAUUCAUAACUAUUAUAUAUUUUUCUCACCUGACUUUUAAGGGAGAUCUCAACAAAUCAACAACAAAUACAUGCAGUUUAAAAAACUUACAUUUCAAUGAUGGACUUUACUAUGAAAAAAGUUCACAUAUACGGCAACAAAAGGCACAUAUAUUCGAAUUUUUUAAACUCCAAUUUAAUUUAGUUAUUUUUUUGUUGCACAUCAAACUGCACUAGAAAUGUUUGGAUAUGAACUUUGAAAGAAUUUUUUUUACGAUGAUUUGUGUAUUGUGUUUGUCUAUUUUCAUCUCUACACACAUUACAAAACGGGUGUAUUGCAUCACUUUAUGUAUAUUUGAAUCAAAUAUAAUUGAUGUAAAUGAUUUUUGCAUCAUUUUAUUGUAAACGAUAGAUAUUGCAUCGAUUGUAAAAAAUGAUGUUAAUUUUGCAUAACUUAAUUUGAUUGAUGUUAGUAGUUGCAUCAAUUUAUCAAAAUGAUGCAGACAUUUGAAAUGGUUAUAGUAAUUAAUGUUAAGUGUAUAUAUUAGUUAUAAAUAAUCAAUGAUAAAAUUAAUAAACUAAUUUCAAAAUAAUACUUUAAAACAUAUAUUAUUCAAAUUUAUUGAUUAAUAUGAAAGCAAACUAUUGUAUUUUUUGAGGUAAUAAUAAUUCAUUUCUUAAGACAAUUUGCCUUGGAUUUUAAACUAAUAUCCUUAACAAAAUCAAGAUUUUGUUUUUUGCUGCGAACUUCCGCUUGGCUAGAUGCAGUCUCGGAUCCAGCGUCUGUAAAGACGCAUUGAUGUUUUUCUCCAUGUCGCGAAUUUGAUGAGUUUCCAACUGAGAAUUUUCAAAAUCCCACCAAAAAGGUACUUCGAACUCAGGAUCUCGUCGAUCUAAAAAAAUACCAAAAGUUGUUAGUAAAAAAGAUUUUAUAGUGGUAAUAACUUAGAGCUAUCAUCUGAUCAGAACUGAGAGAAUAUGAAAACCAAAACAUGGAAAUUAAAAUUUUCAAUAUUUAUAAUAUUUUAAACUUUUAAAUUUUUUAUAAUUUAUUAUAUUUUGAAACUUUUUAGGAGUUUUCGUUUUCUCAAAAAUAAACGGACUAAACCAAAUAAACUGGAUGUUUGAAAAAUCAAGCUUACUACUCAUUUGUGGUUGGAAGUAGAUUAGGUUAGUCAUGUAUUUAUAAUGGUUCUAAGCCAUUGUCAAAACAAUUUUUUACCUGAUUUGGACGUUGUACGUACAUUUUUUUUUUAUUGAAUGAGUAAUAUACGUCUGAUUUCAAAUAUUCAAAUUGCAACAUACGUAGAAUUUUUUUUUAUGCUGACAAAAAAAAAGAAAUUUUUUUAUAUAUUUAUUAUACAUAUGUUUUAGUAUUAAAAUAAAUUUAAAAACAAAUAAUAUCAUAUAAAGAUAUAGGAAGAUAUUUAAGAGAAGAAAAUUAGCAAAUUAUAUUUAGUUAGAUUUUUGUUGCACAUCAACUUUUUUAAACUCCAAUUAAAUUUAGUUAGAUUUUUGUUGCACAUCAACUGUACUAGAAAUGUUUGGAUAUGAACUUUGAAAGACUUUUUUUUACGAUGAUUUGUGUAUUGUGUUUGUCUAUUUUCAUCUCUACACACAUUACAAAACGGGUGUAUUGCAUCACUUUCUGUAUAUUUGAAUCAAAUAUAAUUGAUGUAAAUGAUUUUUGCAUCAUUUUAUUGUAAACUAUAAAUAAUGCAUCGAUUUUAAAAAAUGAUGUUAAUUUUGCAUAACUUAAUUUGAUUGAUGUUAGUAGUUGCAUCAAUUUAUCAAAAUGAUGCAGACAUUUGAAAUGGUUAUAGUAAUUGAUGUUAAAUGUAUAUAUUAGUUAUAAAUAAUCAAUGAUAAAAUUAAUAAACUAAUUUCAAAAUAAUACUUUAAAGCAUAUAUUAUUCAAAUUUAUUGAUUAAUAUGAAAACAAACUAUUGUAUUUGUUUGUGUUAAUAAUACUUCAUUUCUUAAGACAAUUUGCCUUGGAUUUUAAACUAAUAUCCUUAACAAAAUCAAGAUUUUGUUUUCUGCUGCGAACUUCCGAUUGGCUAGAUGCAGUCUCGGAUCCACCGUCUGUAAAGACGCAUUGAUGAGUUUCUAACUGGGAAUUUUCAAAAUCCCACCAAAAAUGUACUUCGAACUCAGGAUCUCGUCGAUCUAAGAAAAAAUACCAAAAGUUGUUAGUAAUAAAGAUUUUAUAGUGGUAAUAACUUAGAGCUAUCAUUUGAUCAGAACUGAGAGAAUAUGAAAACCAAAACAUGGAAAUUAAAAUUUUAAAUAUUUAUAAUAUUUUAAAAUUUUAAAAAUUUAUAAUUUAUAAUAUUUUGAAACUUUUUAGGAGUUUUCGUUUUCUCAAAUAAUAAACGGAUUAAACCAAAUAAGAAAUCAAGCUUACUACUCAUUUGUGGUUGGAAGUAGAUUAGAUUAGUCAUGUAUUUAUAAUGGUUCUAAACCAUUGUCAAAACAAUUUUUUACCUGAUGUGGACGUUGUACGUACAUUUUUUUUAUCGAAUGAGUAAUAUACGUCCGAUUUCAAAUAUUCAAAUUGCAACAUACGUAGAAAUUUUCUUUUAUAUUUAUUAUACAUAUGUUUUAGGUUUAAAAUAAAUUUAAAAACAAAUAAUAUCAUAUAAAGAAUAGGAAAGAUAUUUGAGAGAAGAAAAUUAGCAAAUUGUAUUUUUUAUUCAUUAUAGAUAGAUUUUAGGAAAUAAUGUGAUUAAUAUUAGUUUCCAAUUUUGUGGUUUUGUUUUGAUUUAAUUGCACAACCUAAUUUUUUUUCUAAUUCAAAUGGCUAAGAGUUUAAUUAUCCAAAUGUUAUAAAGUAAAAAAGUUAUAACCAAAAAUGUAAUUUAAAAUUAAUAAUUUAGAUAUCGAUCGUCUUCUUAUAAUCAAAAGAGAAGUAAAAAUUGAAAUUUUGACAAAAUUAACCUUUAAAUCAUUGAAAUUGAUAUUAAUUAUGCACACAGGAGAGAGAAUUGAGAAAUUGAUAAGGGAUAAAUUGGACAUAAAAAUAUUUGAUGCACAUAUUACUACUAAAUCCGCUUGUAUCCGAGAAACUAACAUGCUAAGUGCUAACUGUCGAAUCCAUUACACAAUUUGUUAUGGUAGGCUUUCAAUAAUAUCGUUAGCCUACUACAAUUGUAUUUUAUUGAACAGACGAAUCCAUUACCUAAUUUAUUGAGAGAACAAAGCCCACAAGCCCACAACAAUAUCCUGAUCUUUACAACACUCUUUGGGUAAACGUGUCAUAGAUUGUUUUACGUAUUGAAAAGAAAAUAUACUAACCAGUGAUAUAGUUCCUUGGUUGAGUCCAUUCAAAGAAUUAUGAGAUUGAAAACAUCAUCAUAAAUUUAAGCAAGCUUCGAAUCAUAUGUUUUUUAUAGUUAGCGAGUAACAACACCGAUGUAUCUUUUUACAAAAAUUAUAAACACCAACUGGUUUCGCAUUGGAAAAUUUUAAAAUUCUUUCUUUUGUUAAACUAAAUAUGUAUGUUGUCAAGCUUACACAUCAAAGGAUUUUGCCGUUUUUUAAAGAAAUAAUCCAAUUUUUUUGGCAACUAUUAAACAAAAUACCAUUUGGAGUUUCACUAAUGCUAUAAUUUGAUUCGGAACUUCAUUCAAGUAAACAACACAUUCAAGUAAACAACAGAUAAAAAUAUAAAACCAAGAGUAACCUGAAAAGGCAAAACUUGAAAGCAUAGAUGGUUGACCAUGAUUUGACAUUUCGGUGAUGUUUAAAAUUCUUGAUUAUGAAUCCUAAACGUUCCUUAAGAGAUCCAAAUUAGAUGUGACAUGUUAUUUCUAAAAGGAAAAAAAAACAAAUCUAUAAGAAUUGAUUAUACCAGAUUCUUAGGAAAUUAAAAUAGACGAAGGUGGAAGAAGAUAAUGAUCUGAAUGUCUCGUAACCUUAAAAGUGACUUCAAUCUUCAUCGAGAGUGUGACGAAGAUGAGCGUGUGGGCUAUUAAAAUAAUAUACACAGCGGUGAAAUAUAAACAUACAUGAUUUGUUUUUAGUUCUUUUACUAUUAUUAGUGGUCUCUUAGCUAAUUCUUAAGCAAAGAGACAUCUUUUAGUAAAUUUUAGCUUAAGAGUUAGCUAAGACAUCUCAAUAUUUUUAAAACCGAACAAGAUUGUGAACUGGAUUUAUCUUCUGGGUGAUAGGGUUAUUGGGCUUACCGGGUCAGACCACGGGUCAAUUAAUUAAAAAUUAUCAUUGUGUUUAUAUAAAUUAUACAUUUUUGAAAAUAUUAAAUUAAAAUAAUCAUACAAAAUUUAACAAAAUUAAAAAUAAUAAUAAAGAAGUAAAAAAAGUUAUAUCUACAUAAAAUCAAAAGAACAUUAAUAAAACAUCACAAAUUCACAAUAAUUAAUUUUAAUUAUGUUUGUGUGCUGCUUGAUAAGGAAUAAAAAGUUUUAACUUUCAAAAAUAACUAUAAACUUUAUAUUUACUUCUAAAAUCAAAUAAUUUUGGUGAAUCAUAACCCGUCCAGUUCAAUCGGUUCACCGAGUCCCGGUUAUGGCGAGUUUUUGUGGGGUUUUCCGGUUUUUAGAUUGACGGUUAUUAGUAUUAAAUCCAAAUGGAGAAGUAACUGGGUCGUGAGUUGACCGGUCGGUCUGGUCCAGAUGUGAAAACAUUGAUUUUGUUCACAAAACAUAUGUAUAUAAUAUCUUUAUUUAGUUAAUCAAUAUAUACAAUAAAGCAAAUCAUAUCAAGUUAAAAAAGAAUAAGUUUUAAAAAAUAAAAAAUAAAUACUACACCGCGGGUUCAAGUUAAUUAUUGUAUAUAUAUACUUGGUUCGUAAGAAAUAGAAUUGUUGUUUCUACCAAAAAAAAAAGAAAUAGAAUUGUUGUCGUUAGAGAACAGAAAUAAAUAAAUGUUAAGAAAUCACCUUAAUUUGCCGUUUUUUUUUUUUUUAACUCUUUCAUUGAUAAGGAAAAGCUGAAAAUUACAGAGAAGAAACAGAGUACAGAAAAGAAACAGAGUACGAUAAGGAAGAAAUAGAACUAACAACGAAAACAACUCACAAGAUCACCCAAACUUCUCUUGAUUAAUCCGAUCAUGUAACCACGCCGGACCACCACGCGCUAGGUUUGAAGUGAGACGACCAUCUGAGGUUACACUCUUGGCUAUAUCUCGAACUAGGGAGUUAGCUUUUGCCGAAGAGAGCAUAAACUUAAUCUCCCCCAUCUCCUGAAGCACUCCACCAAUCUUUGUCAACACGGCCCGGUAUUUUGGCCACAACAUGGGAGCUGCUAAAGCAUUAAGAGCUCCUGCACAAUCCGACCAAAUCUCACAAUUUUGAAUUUGAAGAUCCUUUAGAGCUUUAAUGCACCACAAUAUACAAAAAAGCUCAGCCGUUAUUCGAUUCCACUUCGGGAGGAACGCAUCACGAGCGUGGAACAGAGCAUCGCCAUUGUGAUUUCGUAAUAACCAAGAACCACCACAAAAAGCAGUCGUUAAUCCAUGAACAAUGAAUGUUACAUUUCAUAACACCUAGAACAGGCCUACACCACCGAUUAGAACCCACACGGCCUCGCGAACUAGGGAGACAAACUUCUGGAACUCGGGCUUGUUGGUGGAAUAUCCAUUCCUCUGAAGCAGUCAAAGCGGCUGCGAGCAAACAAUGAGGAUUUUGUGGAGUCCCUGCAAAUAUUAACCCGUUUCUUGCUUUCCAAAUCCCCCAAAUGAUCCAUGGGAUUGCAUAACGAAUUUGAGCUUGAAUAUCAACUCGUUCUAUUAGCUGUAACACGAAAGCAAUAUCCUCAGAAAUAUUCAUCGAAAAACCACCUUCUGGCAUAGGAAGAGAUGACUGUAACCAUACAGGCUUAACCACCGAACAACCAAACAAAACAUGUGCAAUUGUUUCUUCUUCCACCUUACAAAUAGAACAAAGCGGGUUAACCAAUACACCAUGAGUACGCAUGCAUUCAGCUACUGCCAAUGCUCCGGACAAGGCUCUCCACAAGAACAUUUUUAUCUUCGGUUCCGUAUGUAAAGACCAAACCGUCUCUUUAACCUUGUUAAUGGCAAUGAUAUGCUCUGGUAAGGGAUCUAACAACUCUAUCUCACGGUUUAAAAGCCAGUUCCCACUCUUCACCGAAUAGUUACCGUCAGCAGAGAAUGCCCAAAUAUAGCCAUCACUCAAGUUUGUAGCCGGUGGGAAGGACCAAAUGCGAUUAACAUCACAUUGGUAAAACAGUUCCUGCAACCGUGGGACAUUCCAGUCACCUCCUGGGUUUAUUAAGGACGACACCUUCAAGCUUAAAUCCAUGACAAGCUCUUUAUUAGAUGGUCUUCUUGGAAAGUCAUCUAAAACCCAUUUAUCCAUCCAUACACUUGUGUUGACACCAUCACCAAUCGUCUUCAUGACGCCCUUUUCCAAUAAUUCACGACCAAACAAUAUACUGCGCCAAGCGUAAGAAGGCCUAGCACCUAAGACAGCUGAGAAAAGGUCUUUGUCCACAUAAUAUGCCUCUUUAUAAACUCUAGCCAAGAGCGAUUGGGGAGAGACUAGUAAACGCCAAGCUUGCUUAGCAAGAAGAGCUUGAUUAAACCUUCCGAUGUCUCUAAACCCUAAACCUCCUCUAGCCUUGGACCGACAAACUUUCUCCCAAGCUACCCAAUGCAUCUUAUUCUUGUCUUCGGUAGCAUUCCACCAGAACUUCAUCAUAGCACUUGUUAUCAUCCGGCAUUGAUGUUUUGACAAACGAAAACAGGGCAUGGCAUACACGGGUAAGGCCAUUGCAACAGAUUUCAACAACACUUCUUUUCCUCCCAAUGAAAGAGUUUUUUCAAACCAUCCACUUAAGCGAGACUUAAGCCGAUCAGUGAUAUAACUUAGAAGUUCCCGUUUCGAGCCACUAAAACAUUCCGGGAGGCCUAAGUAUUUACCCGCUCCACCUUCUUGUUCUAUGCCCGAAAAUAAUCCCAACAGUCGUCGCAUAUAAGGAUCUAUUCUCUUGCCAAAAGAAAUAGACGACUUUUGGAAAUUAAUUUCCUGACCAGAAGCGUUGCCAUAAAGGACUAAACACUCCAGUAACGCCUUACAUUCAGGUAGAUUUGCUCGGCAAAGGAAGAGGCUGUCGUCGGCGAAAAGUAGAUGCUGCACUGACGGGCAAGAAAGGGAAAGCUUCAUCCCCGUUAAAUGACCAGCGUGCUCUGCUUUGUUCAUAAUAUGUACCAAGGCUUCCGCACAUAAAAUAAACAAAAAGGGAGAUAACGGAUCUCCUUGACGCAACCCUCGUUCUGGUUUAAUGAAUCCAUAUGAUGCACCAUUCAUAAGAACGGAAUAAGAAACUGAUGAUACACAGCUCAUGAUCCACAUAACCCACUUGAUAUCAAAGCCUAGCCUCAGGAGCAACUUUUCUAAAAAUUUCCACUCCACUCGAUCGUACGCCUUAGACAUAUCUAUCUUAAUAGCCAUGAAGUCUUCAUCACAAUGUGGAUUAGUUCGAAGAGCAUGUACCAUUUCAUGGGCUAAUAAGAUGUUAUCUGAAAUUAAUCUUCCCGAGACAAACGCACCUUGAGUAUUGGAGACAAUACUAGGGAGAAUACCCUUUAAUCUAUUACAAAGUACCUUAGAGACAAUCUUAUAAAGUACUGAGCAAAGACUAAUUGGCCGCAAGUCUGUCAUCUUUGUUGGAUUUGGCUUUUUUGGGAGCAAACAAAUCUUAAUUUGCCGUUUAAGUAUACAAAUCAAAGAUGAAAUAUAUAUUUACGUUGAAGUUUUGUCUCUCUCAAUACAUCACAGAAGAAGACACAUAAAAGGUUAAUUCGAUUUGUCCCAUAUUCUUCAAUUCUUUUAUUAUUGUUUCUUUCUUUCUCUUUUCUUCCAGAAAUCUCCGCAAAAUCUUCCCUCAAACUCAGAUCCGAUUCUUCCUUCUUCAUCCUAUUCCUUCUUCUACAUAGAUUCUUUCUUCUUCUCCUUCUUUCUCCCAGUUAAAAGAAUACACUUUUCUUUCUCUUUCUUGCCAAAGUCCUCACCUUUCACCGUUUUAAUCACUGUGCUACUUGGGUUUUGAUUUUGGUACCCGUGUUAAGUGUAUGGCGAUUGGGUUUUACUGCUGAAUCCGAAAACAAAGAUGGAUCGGAGUCAAAAGCUGGAUCGUCUUAUCGCCGCGAAGUUUAAGUUGGGCAGGAAGCUGGGAAGUGGAUCGUUCGGAGAACUUUAUUUAGGUAUCAAUCAAUCAAUAUAUGUUCGUCCUAGUUCUUGCAUUUGGGUUUUGUUGUUGGGGUCUGAUUUGAUCUUUUUCAAUUUAUGUGUUUGGUUUAGGGAUCAAUCUCCAAACUGGAGAAGAAGUCGCAGUUAAGCUGGUAACAACUACGAAUUUGGUUUCAGUUUACAAAUUUUGUUCAUUUUGUUCUGAGGAAAGUUUCAAUUUUUAAUGGAUCCUGCUGACUGUUGCAGUCUUUAUAGUAAAGACUAGUUUUGACUUGAAAUCAAACUGUGUAGCUCAAGUUUUCAUGUUUCUUUGUUUCUUUGACACUAGGAACCUGUGAAGACGAGGCAUCCUCAACUGCAGUAUGAAUCGAAAAUAUAUAUGUUUCUUCAUGGAGGAAGUGAGUGUGGUUUCUAGGCUAGUUUAUUUGAAGUUCCAAUCCUCUCUGCCUCUGAUAGCUUGACAUGUUAUCUUUCUUUUGAAAUAGCGGGUGUUCCUCAUCUCAAAUGGUUUGGAGUCGAGGGUGAAUACAGUUGUAUGGUUAUCGACCUUCUUGGGCCUAGCUUGGAGGACUUGUUCAAUUACUGCAAGCGAAUAUUUUCAUUAAAAUCUGUUUUAAUGCUCGCAGAUCAAUUGGUAAGUACUGAGUAAUAGGUAUGGUUUUAUGUUAUGAUGUUAGGUUGGUGUUUGGGAACACUGCUCAUCUCUUCGUUUGAAUAUGUUGUAUCAAUGCAGUUAUGUAGAGUUGAGUACAUGCAUUCGAAGGGUUUUCUUCACCGCGACAUAAAACCAGACAACUUUUUGAUGGGUCUUGGGCGCAAAGCAAACCAGGUAAUCUUUGUUUCAGCAUGAGUUGGCGUAUGUAGAAUAUAUCUAUGUGUGAUUCGUAGAAUAGGACUGGUACUAAAGCCUUCUGGUUUACUGUAUUUAUUUGAAUCCUCAGGUGUAUAUCAUUGAUUUUGGCCUUGCUAAAAAAUACAAGGAUCUUCAGACACAAAAGCAUAUACCAUACAGGUGAGAUCUGAAAAUUCUUACCCUUUCUUUUCGGAUGUCAAUGUUUACUGAAUCUUUUUUUGUCUAGGAACCUGUUAUAGGAUUUUUUUUGGUUGAUUCCCGUGCCUGAUUUGUUAAUGAAUCACGGAUUUUAUAAUGCACGAGUGUUUUCUUAUAGCUCUCUCCCAGACCUUUGUGUUGGUGCGAGAAUAGAAAUAUUCUCUAUUUCUUGCUGAGUUCAGGACCUGUGUUCGAUACUUUCAUUUGUCCACUCUUCUUCCAGCUUGCUUUAUUAGAUUUUUUUGUAACUUUGCAGGGAAAACAAGAAUCUUACAGGAACUGCUCGUUAUGCAAGUGUGAACACACACCUUGGGAUCGGUAAGAGCUGCUUUCAUCUCAUACAUCCGUUGAUUUCAUGUCACAAGCAUUUGAAACUCUUGUCUUCCUUGCUGUCUUAUUUAUUUUUAUGCAUGCUUACAGAGCAAAGUAGAAGAGAUGAUCUGGAGUCACUUGGUUAUGUUUUGAUGUAUUUUUUACGAGGAAGGUAAUGAACUUUCUUGGUUGCAUAUUAGCUUAUAACUUCUUGAAGAAAAUGAAAUUCUUGAACUUGAGUUCAUUUCUCCUGUCUCAGUCUUCCGUGGCAAGGUUUGAAAGCUGGUACAAAGAAGCAGAAGUAUGACAAGAUUAGUGAAAAGAAGAUGCUUACUUCUGUAGAGGUACCUCAUUGAUAAGGUUUUGUAUGCAGAUAAUGUUUUAAUUUGUCCAUUAGUACUGAUAUAGCAUGUUUUUACUUUAUGUAGACUCUUUGCAAGUCGUAUCCGUCGGAGUUCACCUCGUAUUUCCAUUACUGUCGAUCAUUGAGAUUUGAGGACAAACCAGAUUAUUCAUAUCUGAGAAGACUUUUCAGGGACCUUUUCAUUCGUGAAGGUUAAAACUUCUGCUGUGUUUGUUCUUUAUUCCCGAUCUGUUAUUAGAUUGUUUAUGGUCUAUGGAGUUACAGAAAUAUCAUCCCUUGCUUUCUUGUACGUAUUUGAUGGAAUGAACGAUGCAGGUUAUCAGCUCGAUUACGUGUUUGAUUGGACAAUCUCAAAAUAUCCUCAAUCUGGCUCUAGUUCGAGACCAAGGGUUAGUCCUAUUAUUGAUUUUACGUGUGAGAGUUGCAAUUAAUUUAUCCAAAAUCGUAUCCGCGAUUGUGAUUUAUGUGUUUAUCAUUCAUAACAGCCAUCUCCAAGACCAGCAUUGGACCCUCCAGGACCACCUGCAGAAAGAGCUGAAAAGCCUACAGGUACAUUGAUGUUCUCUGUCUCUAAUGUUGUAGGGACUAAAUUAGUCCGAUUGAUACAAAGAUAAAUAUGUUUUUAAGCUAAAAGACAUCUCUCUUAUAUUGUAGGGACUAAAUUAGUCCGACUGAUACAAAGAUAAAUAUCGAAAAAUGUCUUUUAGCUUAAAAACAUAGCUAUGUAUACUUUUGAGACUUGAGUGCUGACAAUUUUGGGUGCUUAAAAACGUGCACUAUUUCAUCUGAACCUUCAGACCGUUAAUUUGUGUCCCACAUAGAUAUGUUUCUCCCUUCGAAGAUUUUUAAUUUUUGUCCAGAGAUUUAACAAAAAUUCUCAAGUAGGGGAAGAUCCCAAACAACUUAAGUUUUUGUUCUGUUUAGUAGGACAGGACCUGCGAGGAAGAUUUACAGGCGCAAUUGAGGCUUUCACCAGACGAAAUGUUUCAAGCCAAGGCGCUCUUGGUGACCGCUCUAGACACAGAUCUUCUGAUGAUAUACCCUCUUCUGCCAAGGAAGUGGUUAGUUUUUGGUGUUAAUUUUCUAGUUGGCUAAUCCUGUAGAUCUAUCAUGAACAUUUCUCUAGUUAAAGAUCCAAACUCCCAAGUAAUUCUCAAGUUAAAUAGGAAUUUUCUAAAGGAUAUGAGAAAGUUUGUCUGUUUUGAUUUGUUGUGGCUUCACUUGCAGCUUGAUUCUCGAAAUGGAAGUACCUCAAAGAGAGGUGUGAUAUCAAGCAGCAGACCUGGCUCAUCAGCUGAGCCAAGUGAGAACCGCUCAAGCCGACUAUUUUCAAGUGGGUCACGUCAUGCCACAACCCAACGGGUUCAACAGAGCUAUGAAUCCAAACAAUCAUCUACAGCUGCAAGGCCUGGACAUGAGGAUGCCAUUAGAAGCUUCGAGCUCCUGACCAUCGGCUCUGGGAAGAAGAGAAAGUGAAGAUAAGGGAAGGAGAAGUUUAAUGAGAGUAAAGCCAAGAUUAUAUGCUGAUGGCUCUGUCCUCUGAAAAUAGGAAAGAGCAGUGUUUUAGCCUUGAGAACAAGAUGAGAGGAGAAAGAGAGUUAAUGUAUUCUCACCAUCUCUCAUUCUCUGGUUUUAAAAGAAUCUGUUAAUAAAAGCAUUUAAAUUGUAACUUGUCAUGUGUACUUCACUUUUUUUCCUCCUCUGUUUUCUAAAAAAUCGAUAUAGGACUAAAAUGUGAAAACCUAUCUCGUCUUCUCCAACCUUGCGGCGUUCAUAACAAACGUAUUUUACUAGUCAUAUUAUGGUCAAAUGAAAUUCUCAGACUUUGAUGAAGAUUGUGUUGACAAUCUUGGAAAAGAUACGAAAAUAUAUUUUGUCUGCAUCUGCUAAAACAUCGUAGAACAUACAAUUUGGUUACAGUAUCCUUUCUAACACCGAGAAAUAGGCAGAGGUUACAUCUUUCAAAAGCUACCAUUAAACACAGAAAAUAAGACAUAGCGACUAAUGUCUUCUAAGAGUGAUAAAUGGAGUGGAGCAAAGACUAAUGUCUUCUAAGAGUGAUGAAUGGAGUGGAGCUGAGAUGAGCUGCGAUAUUGGGUGAUAAAAAUUCAUCAACUUGGUGGUUGGGUGUCACUCUUGAGAUGGGCGUAAACGGCAUCUUGUUUUCUAUGGGAGUUAGCGGAAGUGGACUUGCUGGUGUAAGACAUUGAGGCUGUGAGCUCUUUCCCGGUCUUAAAGUAGCGAGGUAAGCAUGUCCGCUGCAGAAAGGAAGGCUCGUAGCUUGAACUGUAGAUUCUUCCUCCUUUGCCACUUGAGCUCCACAUGGUUCCUUCAAACAUUGAAAUGAAAUUGCAUUUAGGAUCAGAGCAUAACAAACAGAUAAACAGAAGCUUUUUGUGCCUAUUAGUUAUUAGUUACGGGUUUAUUACCCCAAGCUUGAGAAAGUUAAAAGCCUGGUUAUCAGAUCCAAGGUAGAUCUCAAUAAGCUUCCUCAAGUCAGCUAGUGUUGCAUCCUUUGUAACUCUGAGUGUUGUUAUGAGCUUUCGAGGGUUAUCAGCAGUUGUUUCCCACUUAACAUAGAUAUCUAUCUGACCGGUUUUCCUCUCAUCGCCUGAGAUAUUGUUUUCCUUUGCUUCUUCCACUGCUGCCUUAUUCGUUAUAGAAAACAACUGAUUGUCUUUCUUAUCAGGUGAUGCAGCAUUAUUGGCUUGAUCCUCCUCUUGUCCACCGUGUUGUGACAGCUCUCUCUGAUUGCCACAAAGGGUGAAUAUGUUUUGAAUUCUCAACCUUCUCGACGAGGCUGAUUCUUUGUCAUCUGUACUGUUGAAGCAGUUCUCUUUACCCAAACCUCCAGAAUUCAAACUAGGCAUUGGUGUUGUUAUUAGGCAGAUGCUUUUAUCCUCGACUAUCACUUUUUCUUCCUCUUCUUCAACCUCUUCUUCUUCGAAGACAGUGCUCAAGCAUACCCGGUCAGGGAACAUCUGCGUAAGCAUAUUCUCUGCAGGUUUUGGCUGCAAAAUGUUAGUGAAACCCCCCAAACUUGAUUGGUGUGAAACCCCCCAAACUUGCUUGACUGGUUCUGGUUCACCCAUGUCAAGGUCCAUUGACUUCACCAUACCAGGAUCAUCAUCAGAGUAAAGACUCUUGAGUCUUUUAGCAAACCCACUAGUUUCAUCAAUACUUCCUCCAUCCCUUGAGCGCCGAAACUCAACCUCAAUUUCCUCUAACCGUCUUCUCAUCAUCUCCAGUUCCUCUUGUUGCUGCACAAUCCUUUCCUCCAUUCUUCUUCUCUCCAUCUCAACAAAUUCCUCAGCCAUUCUUCGGCAUUCCUCAAGUUUCUUCUCUAGUUCCGAUUUCAAAAGUUCGGUUCUUUCGUUUACUUUUUCUUUUAUCUCCUCUUCAUUGGUAGCACUUGCUUCCUUUCGUGUAAGUAGGGAUCGCAAUGCAGCAAUUUCCUCUUCCUUCUUCUUCAGCUGCUUUUGUGCAUCAUUCCUUUCUUUUUCUUGUUGCUUCUUCUCAGACUGGAGUUUGAGAAUAAACUCAUCCAUCGCAGCUAUUCUUGAUCCCAAAAUAACAGCUGAAGCAGACUCAUCACCCCCAUUCUUAUCUUUGUUUGGAGUAUGAGACCCACGAACUAUGCACUUUGCCUUUGCUCCAUAUUCUAGAGUGCAUAGAGUCUUGUGCAUUUCCUUUGGAUCUGGACUCGCACACAGGAUCAUUAGAAUCUUUGACUUGUCAUCUUCAAAAGAGUCCUGCACCCAAAAGAUAUAUUAAAACUAAAUACAUCUUCAAGUUAACUAAGGAGCCACGGACAUCUUCCAGAGUAUUAAUCAAGAGAACACAAUUUUCACCUGGAGGAGCAUGGUCAGCUUACUGUCUCUGAAGGGUACGUGAGAGUCUCCAUUUGCUAUAGAUUCCACAACUCGCUUCAGUGCGAUAUUUCCCUGAUUGAUCUUAGCUGUCUGUUGAAUAGAGAGAGAUAUACAGGUCAGUUGAAUUCCUUAAUAGUAACUUUCAUAGACUCAAAUGAAUUGAGAGAGACUAAAGAAGUAAUCAUUACUUGCAUCUUAGCUUCAAAUCCGGUUUGCCCAGCUUGGUCUAUAUUCUCUGAACCAGCCAUGUCAACAAGCAUUAACCUUCCCCCAACAGUUGGCACAUCAAGUAUUAUCUACAAAAGGAAACAAUCACUCUUGUAAGUUGCAACAGAGAUAAACUAUAUAUAUAUAUAUGCACUAAUCAAGAAGAUCGAUAUUACAAUGCAGUGACUCCGGGAACUUCUUUCAUUGCAAAGUGUGCUUUUCACAAUUCUCCGUUUCUCCACUUUCACAAUUUCUUUAGAGAUCUUCCCAGCCUCUGUCCCUGAAAUAAAGGUUGCAUUUUUCGCCUUUUUCCCCAUUACUUCAAGCCUCACCUGUAAUAAACCACAAAUUCCAGAAGUUAUAUACUAAGCUUGAUCAAUCAAGAACCUACAUUUUCACACAAAGGAACUAAAAAGACUUUACCUUAGUGCUACCUCCCUUAGGCCAACCAAUCCCUAAAUUGUUACUACUAUUAGUCGAAAGAAGAUCAUAAAUCUCCUCAUUAUAAACCUCAAGAACAGUGACUUGAACAAAAGUAACACCAUCUUGGUCCGAAUCUCCCAAAAUAUCCCUCAAAGAACGAUACACAAUCCCAGGUUGCUUCCCACAACCAAACAUAGUAUGACUCUUCCCCGCACCAGUUGGUCCAUACAUCAUAAUCGUGCAUUUAUUCCCAACUUUGACACCUUUAAUCCUCUCUUCUAUAAACUUCUUGUAAAAAUCUUCAAGACCUUCUUGCUCCGAGAAAGAAACACCAUCUAAGGUGAAAUCUCUGUACCCAACAUCAGCUCUGACUCGUACCGUUUCGUUAUCUGGGUUAACCUGCAAGAUCGACGCCGGUCUCUCUUUCCGAUCUGGAUAAUCACGGAUCCGUCCGAUUACUUCAACUGGAUGCUCCGGCGGAGUUGGGUCUUUGGAUCCAUCUGGGUUUGGGGUUUUCGAGUGGAAAUUGAGCCGUUGUUUGGUUUGUGGAGUUCUGAUUAGAGUAUAUUGGGUUUGAUUCGAUCUCGAAGAAGAUGGCGUCGGCGCCAUUGUUAAAGAAGCUUCAAGAUUUCAGAUUUGUGUAGAAAUGAGUGAAGUUUUGAAAUUUGGAGAUUUCAGAGAGCGUUAGAGUAGAGAGAGAAAUUGAAAAGGGGAUUAGGGUUUUGUGAUUCACGAGGUUUGAAGUUUUGAACAAAGAAAGAAACAAACAUAACCGUUGUGUUGUUGUAUCUCUAAACGGCUAGUUUUGUCUCACGGGACCAGUGAUUGAUUUGAUUUGUUGUAAACAAAAUAAUAUUUUCGGCAAGUAAAAUAUUUUAAUUCUCUUUUUGAAAAAGGUAAGUUGAGAUUUUAAUAUGGGCUGGAUUGUUGAUUACGUAAAUGGGCUUUUGUGUUUUUUUAGAAGCCCAAAUGUUAUAGGAUUAGGGUUUUCUCAAAGUCUCUCUCUUAUAAACUUCGUUCCUUUUAGAUAAUUUGUGGUUUUUGGGCAGUGGAGAAGACGACGGCACGAGCUUCACCGAAGAGCGAAAAUGGUGAUUCUCUUCUUCUCUGUUCUUUGGUUUUCUGCUAGAUUUCUAUUAGGUUAGGUUGGGACUUAGUAUUUGGUUGCUGAUGUAUACUUUUUGAUCAAUCGAAAUUAUUGUUUUCAGAUCAGUUUUGUGAUUUUUGUCUUCUUCUUUCUUUGAGAUGCUUGUUUCUGAGUUUGCAUCUUCAAUCGAGUAUGAUUAAAGUCUAAUUCUAAGUUUGAGAACCUGUUGUGUUGUUGCUUUCGUUGUUGUACUUUGAGGAUUCAAAAUGAUGUAGUGUUAUACAUUUGCAUUGUUGCUACAAUUCAAAAGGACUUGUUCAUUAGAUGGAUUCACAGAGUGGUUAUCAGUAUUUUCUAGUUAAGUAGUCAGAUCGUAUGGUUGAUAUCAAUUCUGAAUGAUGUAGGAGAAUGAGGAAGUUUUAUUAUCAGAUUGAAGGGUUUGUACAUAAGCAGUUUAAUGAUUGUAAUCGAUUCUGUAUAUUGUUGAAACCAUUUCUUGUGGUAGUUUGUAACUCAAGGGUUCGGUGUUCUCUUUAUCUUAGGUGAACAUUCCCAAAACUAAGAACACCUACUGCAAAAACAAGGAAUGCAAAAAGCAUACCUUGCACAAGGUGACCCAGUACAAGAAGGGUAAAGACAGUCUUGCUGCCCAGGGAAAGCGUCGUUAUGACCGCAAACAAUCUGGAUAUGGAGGUCAGACCAAGCCCGUCUUCCACAAGAAGGUAAGACAAAAUCAACAAUAAUGCUCUGAUUCAGUUUUGAUUUGCCUUAUUCUGAUCGCUUAUUACAGUCUGAGAACUAAUGUAGUAGAUAAGAUUUGACUCUCUAAAAUAUGUCUCAGAUGUAUACUCGGUACUAUACUUGGUAGGAAUGAUCUGUUACCUGGCCUGUGUCUCAUCAUUUGUAUUUCUUUGGAACAGGCUAAGACAACCAAGAAGAUUGUCCUAAGGCUUCAGUGCCAAAGCUGCAAGCAUUUCUCUCAACGCCCUAUUAAGGUAAUGAUGAGUGAAACAUUCUUUAUCUUUGUCAAACAUUCUUUACUUUCAGUUCUGAUUCUUACAUAUUUGUGUGUUGGAUUUUGCAGAGGUGCAAGCACUUUGAGAUCGGUGGAGACAAGAAGGGAAAGGGAACAUCACUCUUUUAAGUUGUUUCAUCUAUCUACUUUUUUUGUUUUGUUUUGGUACCUUGUCUUUGCUUCGAUACUCGGAUAUACUUUGAAAUCUUGGUUGUGGUGUUUAAUUUUAUAGGACAGUGUCGAAUGGAUAACCUUCUUUUAAGUUUGUGAACCAAUUCAACAUCAUUAGAAUGCA
rnacentral:lncRNA from 1 species